AGAAUUCUAACUGUCAUAUUUGUACCACGUCAUCAAUAACAAAUCAAUUAUAUUAAUAUUUUUUAAAUAAAAAUAUAAUAAAAAUAUAUUUUUACAAUUAUGAUGGAAUAUAUACUCCUAAAAAGAGAUAUUUAAUUAAUUUAUUACGCCACGUCACCAAUAUACUUGUUGCAUUCUAAAUUUUCCCUACGUACACACCUCCUAUGUUUACAAUAAAUAAUAGGAUAAACUUCAAAUACCAAUUUCCCACUUUUUUUAAUUUAGUAUGUUAUAAUUUAAAGUAUAUUAAUUUAGUAUUCUAUAAUUUUUUUAAAAUUUUUUUUAUUAAAUUAGUGACAAAAUUAAAAUUAAAAAAUAUUAAAGUGAAUAUUCGAUAAAUAUAUAUAAGGUAUCUAAAAUUUUUUUAUAUAAUUUAACGAAAUAUUAAUGGAGGAGCUGACGAAAAAAAUAAAAUAAAAUUACGGAAUAGUAAAUUAAUACACUUUAAAUCACAAAGUAUUAAAAUAAGAAAGUCUAAAACCACUAGAGUGGUAUUUAAUUAAAGUUUACCUUAAAUAAUAAUCAGCAUGCAUGGAGGCACAAUGCACGUCUUUUGCUUAAACCAAUGUUAUCCCAAUUAACCAAAUCGCCCUUCAUCUGCAAUCGCAAGAUUUAAAUACUAAUACGUUAAUUCAAACAACAAAAUAAAUUAUAUAUAUAUAUAUAUAUAUAUAUAGUUAGAUCGAUAAUUUAUUAUUAAUUGUGUACAAAUAAGGAUGAACGGAAAUGAAUUAGAACUGUAGUUGCAGCAUAUUAGAUCUAAGCAGAUUUGUUUGAUAAGAAAUGAACAAUUUUAAACAGCUUAUUCUCUCAGACAUAAAAUUUUAUCCUUUUGAUAAAAUAUUUGUAGUUUCUUUGAGUGUGGAAUUUUUGAUAAUUUGAAUGGUGAGAUGUAUUUUUAGAGGAGCAUUAAUUGUUUGUAUAUGAACUCAAGGUCGGUAUGGGGGUGGUUGGGGCACAUGGACAUAGAACGAGUCUACAUUUUAUUAGUAAGGAUGUACUCAGAAAUGCUCUGACCUUUUGGUAUAUUUAUCCCUUAGAAAGGUAGUAAUUAAGGAUUCAUAAAUGCUCACAUGAGCCAUGUGAACCCUUCCUCCAAUCUAAUUAAGUUGUGGAUGAAGCAACAUCAGCCAGUGUGUUCCUGUUAAAUUGUAAAUAAAAAUAUAUGUAGUGACUUUUCUUUGUGAUUGAUCGAAAAGUGUCGUUGAGACGUUUCUGAAAAUUUAUAAUAAUCUCAUUGCUUUUAAUAAAAUCUCACGUUCGACACCUACUAAGAAAGGAGAGAAGUAAGAGCUAACGAGUUUAAACAUAUUACAAUAUUAACGAAAAUUGCGGUAGUCAAAGCAUUGCAAGGAUAUAUUAGACCGUUCACUUGCAUACGUGUCUUAAAUUAUUCAAAGGGGUUAAUUAAUUAAGGAAAAGUCAAAAGUAUUAAUCAUAAUCUUAGACAACUGGAUCACCUCUUGUAAUGAGAUGUAACCCAUAGAUGUUGGUUUACAGGGUGAGUACAUCAAUGAUCGGUACAUCCCUGGGCCCCAAGCAGGUGCAUCCCUUUCAGUUGACAAAAUGAAUGCCAUGCACCUUAUACCAUCACGGGAUAGUAGUGAAUCACAUUAAUACACACCACACCACAUUCUGAAAUAUGCAUGACACUUAUCUCAAGGACCAUUAUCAUCUUUAAUAAGAGAGAGAAAGAGAGAGAGUAUUGAGGGAAGGAGUGUUUUUAACUGUUGGUUUCCACAGAAAAAAAAAAAAUUACUAGUUUAUUUUCACAAUACUCAUGAGUGUUGAAAACUUAGCACUUAUUUAAUCAAGAUGACGCUUAUGCAGAAUUGUUAUUUGAAUAAUACUUAAUUGGCUUUUAGGCAGAAUUGUUAUUUGAGUAAUAUUUGGCUUUUAGGAGCUCUCGACAGAACUCGGAUGGAGGGCUCUUUAGCGAGCGCAUUCUAAGGGCUACACGUUCACCACCACCCAUAUAUACUUGCUUCUGUCGCUAAUCUUGAAGUAGCAAUUCUUACUCAGUUUAAUUUAGUAUUGGUGUCACUCUCCUCAGCAGAUAUCACUGAGGAGCGACUCAUUCAAAUUUUGUUUUGAACUUUCAACCAUCUGUUCAACUUCACUAUUUUUAUAGUAGUGAAAAGUAUCCCAAAAUUUAGGCCGAACAACGUUAAUUAGGCCUUCGGCAUGUUUUAAGCAUAUAGAUUUGGUGGAGCUUUGGAGUAUACGAUAUGAUUAAAAGUUGUUAUUGCCUAAUAAAUUCACUUAGACCUUUAUUAUUUCGAAUUGAUUGAACAAAUCUAGUGCAGUUUAGGCCCAGCCCAACGUAGCAGCUUACUGGAUUCAACCUGAUUUGAGGAUUUUUUUUUUCUAUUUUUUUUUAUAAUUUGACCAUAGGCAAACCUGAAAACUAUUUAUUAGGAAUUAAAUUCACAGCGAGAUACGGAACACCCACGAAAAAAAAAAAAUAAAGAAAGAAAGAAAAUCUUAUUGCCUCUGUUUCCGAUGUUGUAUACUUGCGCGUACACGGCGAACUGCAGCGGUAAAGCAGAGCAUCGUAGCCAAUCACAUUCACUUUUUGCUUUGUACUAAAACAGAAUUGCUCUCAUGUACAUUUUAUUAAGUGAUAAAAUUUAUAUUUAUCUACUUAAAGAAGAAAAAUAAAGUGAAUAACCCUUCGCCCUCGACGAUGCCAUAUGAAAAUUAAUAUUAAUUUUAAAAGACAACACAAUGGGGCUAUGCACACUUUCAUUUUUUUGGAGGCAUACAUGUAAAAAUAAAGCACAUCUGAAACAAUAGUUGAUCAGGAGAACGAGCCACGAUUCAACAAGCUCAACAGUUUAUGAGACACCAGCGAUGAGUGAGCAGAAAACGACAAGAGUAAUUUAAGAUCACAGAAACAACAAGAGUAAUUUAAGAUCACACAAUCUUAAUAGCUUCACGGACGCUGUGUAUAUAAUAAAUCCACCUCUAUUUCAUAUACAUAACAAAAAGCGGGAGAAAUUACAACACCGAGAAGAGAAAUACAACCUAAAAUCUCAAACUAACCAUCAAUCCACGAGCCGUAAGAACAACCCCAGAAACAAUAACAACAAGACAACGUAAUAUCAUACAUCGAUAAAGAAUUGCAGGCUAUGAGAUGGCUCAUCGACUCUGUUGAUUUUAAAAUCUGCAAUUUCUGAUUAUAAUCAAAGCAUAUACAUGUGGAGAGAACGACGGCGGGCCAAUUGGCAAAUAUCAUUAAAAGCCUUGAAAGGCUUCUGCAGAUAGCAGUCGCCUUGUGGUCGGAGCUGGUGGUGCCAAUCCAGGUAUAUCUCUGAUGUUCUUGUUGUUUGGGUGUACAAUCUGAAAAGUCGACAAAGAAAAAAUACUGAUUAUUAUUUGGAGAAACCAAUCAUGGAAACAACACAGGAAUACAUGCAGAAUAAAAUUAUUGGCAAAUUUGAUAUCAUGUUAGCAAAGAAAGAUGGAUACGUCAAAAUUUUCCAUGUCUCUGUUGGGAGCUGAUUAUAUAAAUAACCAUAAGGCAAAAAUGUCAACCAGCAAUUGAACGAAGGGUUGACAUUGCAAGAAAUUAGUUCAAGAAAAAGUCUAAGUGGAAGAUUAACAAUUAAAUUUUAACUGCAGAAAGUUCGUUCCUGCCAGUGUGUUUUACCCUUUGAUAAAUUAAUAAAUAGAACUCCAGAUACUGUAGCAUAUAUACAUUCAUAAUACUAAGGGACCACCAUUGAGACCAUAGAAGUAGGGACAUUGGUCUAUGCGAGCUUACUUACAACGUCGGUGCAUUAAGUUAAUUUCCAAGUCAAUAAUUUGAACUAAGAACAGAGAAACAUGAUAAAGAUCUAAUCCUGAUAUAUGACAAGAAGUUGAUAAUAUGCACCUUCACAAUGAUGAUUGCAAUAACACCACAAACGAUCAAAAACAGGAAAAACAUAAUGCAUUUAUCAGUAGCCACCUGCAAGUUUACAGAUAAGGUUGUUUAGACAGGUAUAUACAGGAGAAGUUGAAAUAUGUGAUUGUGCAUGGUAGUAUUUAAUAAGCUCACCUGCCUACCAAUCUCUUUCACCAGUUGAGAAGCCUUCUUAAUCGAGAACUGAAUAGUAUCAAGUUCAUUGACAAUGCGACCCAUUUGUUCAGUCUGCAAAUCAUAGAACAAACUUCUAUGAGGCAGGAAAAUGUUCAAGAGUGAACGAGUCCCUAAGAGAUAUUAGACUUGUUGGGUACGCUUGAUAUUAAUGUCAAAAAUUUCUAUACAGGCCUGUCCCGGGCCAAACUAGCAAUCAGGUAAGCUAGCUCCAUUUAUAACCAAUAUAUUUCAGAUAUUACAGAAUCUACUUACUUGUCCCUUAAGGUUUGCAGCAGUCUGAGCUCCAACGUCAAUAGUUUGCUCAACAACCUACAAUUCAACUUUCACAUGAGAGUUAGGAGAGAGAAAAUGAUAGGACAAUGCAAGUUGAUACUAUACCAUUUUUGAGCGUUCAAUAGCUUGAUCAGUCUCAUCCAUCUUCUUCCUUCCAGCAUCAAUAAGCUCUUGAUUAGACAUUUCUGCAAGACAGACAGAACAUGCUUUCAUUCUUAUUCAGAUGCUAGAAGGUAAACCUCCAACCAAUGUUAUAGAGAAAAUUAAUGACACACUUCGACAAUCCAUUGAGAGAUAGCGUUGUCUCUGUUUUGAGUAUCACUUGAUAUGCGCCUCUACUAAAUCUUCUCCACAAAUAAGGAACUUGAUCCGUUCAGAAGAUUGAGACUAUCAAGAAUCACAAGAAUACGCUUUCACUUUACCAAACUUUCACUUUACCAUCCUAUAAUAUCCACACCAAAACGGGAAAAGACCCUAGAUUAAUCAUUUCCAGCUUAUUUUCAAAAUUUAGAAAAAGUAUAAGACACACACUUGCAAUUUAUUCAGUAAGUACAUAGAGAAAAGAAUCUGCAUCAUCAUUUCAUUCUAUAUGCCUCUUGAUAUAUAAAAUAUUCAAAUGUGAUGUCCAUUUUCCAGCUGACCUACAAUUAGCUUCUACAGUAAUCCUAUGUCAUUUAAUACUUGCACAUUCAAGAUCAAGUCAGGUUUGUGGCCUGGUCAGGUUGCACCCAGCUUCUAAAUCAUUUCUUUAGAAUACAUAACCGCUAAUAUGUCAUCACUGAGCCACCUCUAGUUUGUUUUGACGCAUUGGCACAAUAUCAACAGCCUGAUAAUUGCUUUUAGCGGAUGGAUAAAUAAGUUGAUAUAUUCAUCAGACAAUUCAAUCUGUCAUCAUGAACAACUGUAAACAUAACGUAGCUUAGGAAAAGUAGUAGAACUUAAAAAAAAAAGUUUAGCCAUACAUGAACAAAUAAAUCAGGAAAGGAUUGCUUUUAAAUGAGUUCUAAGUGCAAAGGAUAUUAACAAUUACCUGAAGCCAGUCGAACAUUGUCAUCAGGUACAGCAUCACUGCCUCCGGCACCCAUGUCAAAGAGUUCAACUCUCUUAUUACCAAGGCUACUCUGAUAUCUGCCAUAGUAUCAUAAUGAGGAGACAUUGGCAUUAGUAAACAAGAAAACUUCAAAAAUAAAAAAACCACCGACUAAAUUUUCAGACGAAAGACACAUGAGCUGGAAAGAUAGAGAUGUGAAAGGUCAAGUUGAAGAAAAAGUCAAAAGCGGAAUAAUUGAAGAGUUUGAUGAACAAUGAAAACUUAAUAAUUUUCUUCCAGAUAUCUAUAUGUUAAUCGGUUGACAGAUAUUUGGUGUUUAUUUUAAAGCUCAAGCCUUAAGAGUAGUAAAAGGGCCAGAGACUUCUAGUUUGAAGUACAAAAUUACUAGAAAAGAAGGCUAAUUUAGCAUCUGAAGACAAACUGUAGCAUGAUUGAAUGCUACACAAUAAAAGAAAACAAGGAUAGCCAAGGAAAAUACAUCACUGCAAGCAACAGACUAUUCCAUAAGCUCGUCCACGGAAAUUCUACUUAAAUUGCUAAAGAUAUGAGACUUAUGAUGCACUCCCAUAACGUCCUAUCCUAAGCCAGAAGUUUAGCUUAUUUUCAAGCAAGCAGACGAGAAGCAUAUGCUGGCAAUAUAGGUUUCCCAGCUUGAGUUGUUACCACAACUUUGUCACAAUCCAAUCUUCAAUUUUGUCCAUAAUAAUGUCAUUACUUUGAGCAUCUCCAGCUAAUAAUCUUUUUAUUACAAAUCAGGUCAGUUGGAGAUGCAGUUUUAGAAAAUGAAAAAAAAAAGUGUAUGCAGCAAGUAUUUUAUACUUACGUUUUUCUCAAGGCGACAUACGAGUUUAGCUCUUUUAUCUGUCAAAAAUGCAGUGAAAAUCAAUAGUUAAAUAGAAACAAAAAAGAUUAAAAAUAGCAUUGAAACAAGAAGAAAAUCACUUACCAUGGAUUGCUUCCUUUCAUUAAGCUGUUUAUUGACAUCAGGAGGGUUUCGACUCUCCUCCUCCUUAAAUACGCGGUCAAAUUCUUUGAUUAAACUGUUAAAAGAAGGAUUUUCAAUUAAUAAGAAUGCAUGCAGCUUCAAUCUUUGUUAGAAUAGAACAUGAUGCAGAAUCAAUAAGGGAUUCCUGAGUGAUAAAAAUAUAGUGAAUGUCAUGCGGCAUGGGAUCCAUGCGUAAGAACUUAUCUGCAUGUAAUGAAGCUGAAAAAGUUCAAUUAAUUUCAAUUACAAUCAAUAAAUUGACAAUUAAGUUUUAUCAGACCAACCGCUUACACUCCCUCAUUUGUCCAGUUAGCUCCUCCAAAUGCUUAGACUGCCUAUUAGCGUCUUUAAUCUUGUCCAACUUCUGGAAUCCAUUCCUGCAAAAAAGAAAAAAAGGGAAAAAGAAAGGUAGGAACCUCAUAGUCAGUCGAAACAAAUUACAAACCUAUUCAUUACACUGCCACACUAGAGUGUGUUGAUAUCAACAAUAAGUAUUGAACGUGAAGGUUUACAAGAAGAAUUUUACAGCACAUAUAGGAAGUAUCGCUACAUACCUUCAUGGAACUAGAAAUGUUUCUAAACAAGAAGUUGAUAUUGCUAACGCACCAAAUGAUAGAAACUUGAAAACGGCAAAAGUUUAUUUGGUAGAAGUGACUCAGAUAAGAAACAAAGAAAUAGAUAAAUUCCAACACAAGAGCAUGUCGAUAGCAUGUUAAGGAUUAGCUAAAUCUAAAUCAGAAAUUCACAUAUUUCGAGAAUUUGGUAACUUUUUAAGCUUUGUAGUUACAUACGAUAGAGCCAAAGAAUGUUAAUUUAAUAACCAUGCCAACUAUACGAAAGUUAGUGGCUCUUUCACCUUAAUGUUUGAUAUUAAUAUUAAUCCCUAGAAUCCACCGGAGAGACGAAUUCUACAUAUUUCACUAAACAUUAGCGAAUCAAGGGAUGCUUUUCGAUUAUACGACAUUGAGUAAUAAUAAUCAGAUUGUACAUCGCUUCUCUCCAAUUUCACCGUAGAGCGGCAUUACAAAAAAAAAAAAAAAAAAAAAAGCACAAUGCUCACGAAUUACAAGCAAAAUCUUCUUUUUGUUCAUUAAAGCUUCCCAAAUUGGAGAAACUGUCCUAAUAAUUGAAAAUAUAUAGAAUAAUUAAGGGAUCGAGAUAAAAAAAAAAACCAUACUGGAGGGCUCGGAAGAUGUCUUGGAUCUCCCCGUCGAGCUGCUCCAGCUCCGCGCUCAUCGCUACACCACUCGCCAUUAUCACCCCCAAGGAUCACGAUCCCUCCGCAGACACUGCCCAAUCCGAAGCUCUACACCAUGACCGACGUAGAACACGAAGCUCUCGAUCAACACCGCGCGCUCGAAUCCAUCGUAGAGGAAUCGAUGACGGGAGGGGGAAGAGGAAAAGGGUCGGGAUCCGGAACGGAACCCUAACCCUAGACAACGAGGAGAUCUCGGAGGUGGGGUGAAUGUCCAAACCCCGGCGAAGAGGAUAUCUAGGGCUCUUUUGAGAGACAGGGGAGAGGGAGAGAGAGAGAGGAGAAUAUUUGCAUUUGCAAUCGUUGAAUAAAUACGUGGCGUGAUGGAGAUCGGACGGUUGAUAAAUGAUCGAUAUUUGUCUGAAAUCGUGAGAGGAGGGAGGCGCACGAUAGCGAGGGCAGUCGUUGGGCGGACAGAGUGGGUGUGAGGUGGAAUGUGCUGUCCGCGUCCGGCUUUCGUAUGGUCGACGCCGUGGGCCCACUCGGAGAAAGGACACCGGCACACGCGUUACAGUAUUUGUCCGGCCCAAUAACAUUUUAUACAGAAAAGGACUAAUGGGCGGCCCAACAUCCUUUAAAUGGUUGAGCCAACUUUUUUUUUUUUUUUGAGAGAUAGGUAGCACACUACCGUGCUUCGUUUAUUUCAUUUAGAAAUAAAUUUAGCUAGAAACGUGAAUAAACUAGAAUUCGAACUAAGGUCUCGGAUACCAACCACCAAUUCCUUCGCCACUUGCUCUAGGGACGGUAGGUGGGUUGAACCAACUCUUAUCUGAUCUUAUUUUGGACAGUGCGACAAUUCCUCUUGUGCUUGUUCCCGUUUAUCUUAAGUAGAUUUUUAAGUUGGAGAUGCAAAGUACAAUUCAAACUUGAUUUGAGGUUGAUUAAUUUGAGAAACGAACUGGUACUGAUCCAAAUUAAAAAAGAACAAAGUAAAAUCCGGUAAUUCUACAGAGCUUACACAAUUAGGCACGAGUAGCAAAUUUUUAACUAUGUAGUGCAUGUCUGGAAUACAUGACUCCACGUGACACUUCGUAUUUUACAGGCAAACAUUAACAAAAAAAACUAAAGAAGUCAUGCAUCCUGUACUUCUCUAAGCAUUCAGAGACUUCAGACUUGCAGGUCUAUAGCAUAGGUUCUUUAGUUUUACUUUUUCUUUUCAAUGUCUGAACCUGAUCAUUGAUUCUAAUUUGGAUAUUAUUAUAAGGAUAAUUAUAUAUAAAUAGUAUAAUAUGUUCUGAAUCCCAUCAUUGAUUCUAAUUUGGAUAUUAUUAUAAGGAUAUAUAUAUACAGAACUAGGCUGGAAUACUAUCAAUAAUACUAAGUUAUUUGUGCUAUUAGUAUUUUAGCCCUUAGAUUAAGAAAUGUACGGUUAUGAUGAUAUGGCCCACAUAGGGUUGAGUGGGUGGUUGGCUGAAUAGUAUAAUCUAACGAGUAAAAAUAAUCGAAAGAGUUAAUCUAACGGUAGAAACUUGAUAGCACAAAGUGUUUGGGGUGCGUUUGGUUCGCGCUAUCUUUCAAAGAUUCCUAGUAAUCCAAUAGGAAUAAAAAAAUAUGACGGUGUUUGGCUAAACGCACUAAGUAAUCUAGUUGGUAAUAUUGGAUUCACUUGAGAAUAAGAUUCACCCCAAAGUACUAAUCUCAUUCUCUUGAGGGAGGAUGGCUAUCCUCAUAUUAAUGGAUUUUGGUAAUUAUAAUAUGUCUAAUCUCUUUCUUUCUCCCUACCCGCCGGCUAAUUGAUAUUAUUUUUCUUUACACUCUAAUCUCAUAUCUCUCUCUAAACUUAUCUUUCUCUCUAAAAUUUAACUUUUUUUUUCUCUCUCUAAACUAAGCUUUUCUCUCUCUUUCUAAAAUCUCAACUCUCUUACUCCCUCUAAUUUCGACUCUAUAUCUUUUUCUAUUUUUUUAAUUAUGUUCUCUCUCUCUCUAAAUUAUGCUCUCUCCUUCUUUUUUCUAAAAAGAUGUUGAAACUUUUAAUAGCAUUAUCUAAAAUUAAUUAAAAAAUAAAUAAAUUAAUUGUAUAUUUUUUGUAAUAUUAAAUAACAUGGCUAAAUAAUAUUACCGUACGAACCAAACAUAGGAAUUCCACAUUCUUAGUAAUAGAAUGAAUAGGAAUAAGAUUCUCGGACAUCUUUUCAUUCUUAGUAAUCUUUCAUAAUGCGAACCAAACGCACCCUUGGUGCUAUUGAUAGCAUAGCAGCUGGACUAUAUAUAUAUAUAUAUAUAUAUAUAUAUAUAUAUAAUUGUUUCGGGUUCAAAUUUUUGGAUUCGGGUUCAGAUUCGGGUUUCAGAUUUUUAGUCAGGUUCGGAUUUGGAUACGGAUUUUUAAAAUCUGUCGAGUUCAGAUUUGGGUUCGGAUCUUGGGUUUGGAGUCGGGUUCGGGUUCGGAUUUUUGAAAAUUCGCCCUGAAUCCGACCCGUUGACAUCUCUACACACAAGCUAGUUGAGUGGCUAAAAUUAAUACUAACAGACUGUUUUACCCUUUUGUAAUUUUGAUUUUACUAAAUAUUAUUUAUCAUUUCUAAUUUUGUUUGAUUCGAAAUUUCGUGUAAACUAUCAAUUAUAAAUUUUUUAAAAAAACUUGAAAAAUAAUUUUUAUAAGCAAAAAUCGUGAGUAGGUGGAGGCAUAAUACAUGCAUGCCUAUAGGCUAUAGCAUAGUUAUAGGUGAAGCAUUGGAGUCUCCCUCUCCAUCGUUGGAGAAGAAGUCCAAAAUUUUCAUGGCCUCCCUAAUUUUCUUGGUGUUGAUGAUGUUCACGAGAGUGGUAGGAAUUUUCCCAAAAUUAAUACCGGAAGAAAGGUAAUUAUUAUUAUUAUUUUUUAUUUAAAAUAAACAAAAAUUAAUUUAAUUUGUAAAUAAUUUGAACAGUAUUUUGAGGUUUCGGGUCUAGCAAAAAAGCUAUUAUGCAGACUCCUGUAGCUUAUGAAAAAUAGCUAUUACAGUGAUAGGUAUAAGUAUGGGGAUAAGAAAAAUAGCGUUUGGAUGAAAAUUGGAUUGUUUCCGGAGAUAAGAAAAAUAACGUUUGGAUAGAUAAUAUGGAAUAAAAAAAAUUGGGUUGUUUCCGGACACAAGCCUCGACCCAAAUUACUUGAGGGAAGAGGCAUUGAAUAUAUUAAACAUCUUCCUUAUUUGCACAAAUUCUUCACCAGUAUUGAGGCCAAAGAUUCUGCACCAGUAUUGAGGCAAAAUAUUUGUGAAGAUGCUUGAGGGUAAGAUAAUCGUUCGAGUCUCAUUCUUAUUAUUAUAUACUUAGUUGAAGUUUCUGGAGCAAUAUAUAUGUUUUUGGCAUUUAAGCAUAUAUUGAAUAACAGUUGAAUAACUAACUAAUAUAUCUAUCCAUUCACGGGAUAAAAAACAAUAUUAUUUAUUUUUUAUAUUUGUAAUAUAUUAUAUUACAAAUAUUUAUUACAAAUGUAUAUUUAUAAUAUAUAUUACAAAUAAAUAAUAUAUAUAUAUAUAUAUCAUAAAUGAAUGACAUAUAUUAUCAUAAACAUAAUAUUUAUAUUAAUAUAUUUAUUUAUAUAUCUAUUUAUCUAAUAAAAUAAAGAGAAGAAUAAUUAAAGUUGUUCUUAGUUAUUCUAUGAUACCUUGAAUAGAUAUAUUGUAACACUAAAAGAAGAAAUUACUAAUUGGCGAGAAAAGAAGCAGUAACUUCUAUAAAGAUCAAUUGGAUGCCGUAAGCACAAAAUGUUUUAAUAAAAUAAAUAAAGAUUCCAAAUAAACAUAUGGCCUUCUUUGGACACUUCAUUCUUGAGUUAGUCGUUAUAAUAUAUUUUUUUUACAUCCGAUAAAAGUGUUCUUAUUUUAUAGCAUUUUAUUAUUUUUCUUUGCGGGUUAUAUGUUCUACAACAGUAGGGAAAUCUGAUUAUGUUGGUGGACAUAAACCUUGGCCCAAAAUUCUCGAGGGAAAAUCCCUUGAAUAUGUUAAACGUCUUCUUUAUUUGCAGAAAUUCGUCACCAAUAUUGAGGCUGAAGAUGUCCGAUGUUGUGAAGAUACUUGAGGGUAAGUUGAUCGUUCAAAUCUCAUUCUUGAAAGGAGCAAGGAACAAUGAAGUGGACCCAAGUUAAGAAGAAAGCAUAUCAUUUGAUAACGGAGGACUUCCUGGCUCAGUUAUAAGCAUAUCAUUUGAUCACUACAAAAGCAGGUCACCUUUUUAUAAAAGAUGCAUCACUACCGUCCAUUUUAAAAAAUUUAAGGUCUAAGAUUUAUUUAGUGUAUAGGAGCAUUGCUCUAAUUAUUAACUUAAAGAUUAGGUAAUACACACAUCAUCAUACAUCAUCUGUUAAUUGAGAGGCUUUUAUAUAUAUACACAGCUAGUGCGGUGCUAGUAGCUAGUGUUUUUUUCUUGUGUGUCAUCUUAAUUACGUUGAGUUGUAGUUGCUUUAAUUUUGUAUGUUAUAUUUGCAUGCGUAGAUGAUGGAGUUGGCUUACUUCGGGAUGGAUGUCACAAAAAGGAGCCUCUGUGGAUAGUCUUUGUCAUGUCUGGUACCAUCAACCUUACAUCGACCUUGAUGGUAUCAUCGUUCAAAAUGAUUGAUGGCCGAGGACAGGGCGUCAAAAUUACAGACAAAGGUUUACGAUUGGAAAAGUCCGAACACGUAAUCAUUUGCAACCUACAAUUCGAGGGUGGCGAUAAAGAAAAUGUCGAUGCUAUCCAAAUUAAGUCCAAAUCAACAAACAUUUGGAUAGUUCGCUGGAACUUGCGCAACUAUGCUGACAACCUAAUCGAUGUCAGCCACGAAAGCACCAAUAUUACUAUUUCCAGGUAAUUAAGCAAUUAAAGCCAAUCGAUCGAUGCUUUAAUUAAUAUUCUACUUAAUUAUUUGCAUUAAUAUAAAUAAAUAGUACUUGCUAUAUAUUCUUUCCCGAUUCAUUUAAUGAGUAAGUGUUGUUUUGAAAUGCACGAUAAAACAAUGCUCAUCGGAAGGAGCCCCGACGACAUAGGCGAUCGAUCCAUUGCCGUAACGAUACAUUGUUGCUUUUUCGACUCCACAAUUUAGUGACAUCCACGAGUCAAAUUUGAAAAAGUAUAUCUUUACAACAACUACACUAAAAGCUGGGGCAUUUAUGUUGUCAUGACUUCGUCGAAGCUCAAGUAUAUAUAUGCAAUCUUGAUAUUUCGGUGCUCGCAACGCCCUUUGAAUCUUCCUAUACAUUACAAAUUAAACUACUUCUUAAACUCCUUCCCAGUUUGCGUGUAUAACAGAUCGUGUCUCAGAACAACAUAUAAGAAGCAGGGAAAAAGAAGAUUGUCUUUGAAUAUAAAUUUGAAAAGGUAUUGUACGUACAUACAACGUUUUCCUUUUACUUUUCUUUUUUUUCUUCAAAAAAAGAUAAAGAUAUAAACUUAUAUUUAUAGAAAUUUGAAGUGAUUUUUAUAUAUUUUUGAGGAUCCUCAUACGCCAUACACGAUCAUAAAUAUGUCCUACAAGAGUAAUAAAUAGCUUGGAAUUUUCAAAUAGAUUUUGUUAACUCAAAAACUUCACUUGUUCAGAUGUAGACAUAUAAGCUAUAGCUAUAGGCAUUAACCAUUUUGAGAAAUAACAAUAAAGUUCAUAAAGGAAAAGUAAUAUUUAUUACCGACAAAUAUUUAUUAUCAAUAAAUAUUUAUUGCUGAUUAACUAGUCUGUACUAAUAGCUUUUCUUCAUUUUUAUUAAUAACAAAUAUUUAUUACCGACAAAUAUUAAUAGAAUAAUCCUGAAAAAAAAAUUAAUGAAAAAAAAAUAAAAAGAGCCAUACAUUUUAUACACUAUGUUAACCCUUAGAGUCAAAAGGUGAGAUGACGAUUGUUUUGAAUUGCUAAUUUAAAGACUUCACUUGCUCAGAAGUAGAUAUACCGGAUAUUGCUAUAGGCCUUAACCAUUUUGAGAAAUAACAAUAAAGUUUAUAAAGAAAAAAUAAUAUUUAUUACCAACAAAUAUUUAUUACCGACUAGCUAAGUAAUAUCUCUUCAUCAUUUUUAUUAAUAACAAAUAUUUAUUAUCGACAAAUAUUAAUAGAAUAAUUUUGAAGAAAAAUAAAUCAACAAAAAACUAAAAGAGCCAUGCAUUUUGUACUUGAUUCAAAAUGCGUAUGCUAUAAAUGUUACCUUUAUUCAUCAGAACCUUACUUUUCAGACAAAACCAUAUAAUAGGGCCAACCUCACAAUAAUUAAUGUAAUGAAAAGGAAGAUUCUGAUGAAUAAAGUUAACAUUUAUAGCAGACGCAUUUUGAAUCAUUGUAAUGUGUGUUUGUGGAUAAUUAAUGUGCAAGAUUAGAGACAGUAGAAUCAAGGCACAGUUCAAUGAUUAUAUAUAAUUUUUAUUUAGCCAUUGAUGAUCUAAUAUUCACAUAAAAAUAUAUCAUAGUAAUUAAUUUAUGUAUCGGUGAAAACUUAUGCAUGCAAAUAUCAGAGGCCUAGAGUUGCAAACAGGGUACUUAAGUUUACGACAGAUAAAGGCUGCCACCAACAACUUUGAUCCUACAAACAAGAUAGGUGAAGGAGGUUUUGGUCCCGUACACAAGGUUUAAGUAACAUAAAACUCAUAAAUAUAGUUUUUUCCCUUUAUCUACUGUCCUUUGUUAAUUAUCUGUCUGUUCUUUCAAACUCUUAUAGGCUGACUUAAUAUUAUGUUGUAUAUUUAAUUUUUUUUAAAAAAAUUUCAGGGCGUACUACCAGAUGGAUCUGAAGUUGCCGUAAAGCAACUCUCAUCUAAAUCGAAGCAAGACAGUAGGGAAUUUAUCAAUGAAGUAGGCCUGAUAUCGGCUCUACAACAUCCAAAUCUAGUGAGAUUAUUUGGAUACUCCAUUGAUGGAGACCAAUGGUCUAUGAAUACAUGCAAAACAACAGCUUAGCAAGGGCUUUGUUUGGUUCGUUCUAAACCUAACUAUAAUUCUGAUCCAUAAUUUUAUUAAUCAUUAAUUCAGUACCAUGUUUAUGUUCUUUUUGUUUUAUUGGAAAAAAUAGUUUUGCUAACUAAUAAUUGUUUGAAAAUUUCAGGUGUUGAAAAAGAUAAGCAGUAUUUGGAUUGACGAAUGAGAAGGAAAAUAGGCCUUGGGGUUGCUAGAGGCCUAGUGUACCUUCAUGAAGAGUCACGACUAAAAAUUAUUCAUCGUUACAUCAAAGCGACAAACAUUUUACUUGACAAGGAUCUAACACCAAAGAUAGCCAAUUUUGGUCUAACAAAAUUGGAUGAAGAAGAACAUAGUCGCAUUAGCACGUGCAUUGCAGGAACCAUGUAAGUAAAAUUUCCUUGGUUGUUUAAAAGGCUUAACUAAUGGAUAUGUGAUUAUAAAAAAGUUUUUGAGAGAUAUACUCUUGUAAACAAUGUUAGCCUCGAAAUUAUCGACUAACUGUUUUUUUCAUUGACUUACGAAAUUUGUUCAAAAAGUUCAAUAAAGAAAAUACAUAAAUAAAGAUGAUAUUUAGUACAGUUUUAGUCACCAAUGACAUGGCUAGUGUUCUGUAAAUUUUAUUGAUGAGUCAUUGUAUUAGUGAUCUUUUUUUACAUCUCAUUUUUGACUCGUAGUGUAUUCUUCACUGCUCAUAAGGCUGAAAGCAACUUUGGGUUGCGCUCUUCUUUACUUUUCUGUCCUUUUUUUUUACUCCCUUAGAAUUUAUGCUCUUCAUGUUUAGUUGUUUGAAAACGUUAAAAAAACUAAAAAUUUAGCUACUAUUUUAGGACAGCAUAUGUGAUGCAAGCUUUCAACAAGACAAAACAUUUUAGCUACUGUUUUAGGACUUCAACCUGCACUUCCCUUAUUUUGUUGAUUUCAAUGUAUUCUUUGGUUAUAAUGAAUUGCACAUAAUAAUUUUUUGAUCAUGCAGAGGAUAUAUGGCCCUAGAAUAUACAAUAAGAGGUUAUCUGACCGAAAAGGCUGACGUGUAUAGCUUUGGUGUUGUUAUACAGGAGCUAGUCAGCGGAAAGAGUAACACAUCCUAUCGACAUAAGGAAUACGUAACUCUUAUUGACUGGGUAAGUUUAAAAUUACUAUCUUCAUAUGGUAAAAUAAACAAAAAAUGCAUCAAUAAUGAACCUAAUUGCAUCUUACCAUUCUUCUCCAUAGAUUGCAGGCUCAUGUUCUACAGCAGCAGGGAAACUUGAUUGAGCUAGUGGACGCAAGCCUCGGCUCGGAAUACGCGAGGGAAGAGGCUUUAAUUAUGUUAGACCUCUCCCUUGUCUGCACAAAUUCGUCACCAGUAUUGAGGCCGAAGAUGUCCGAUGCCGUGAAGAUGCUCGAGGGUAGGAUGGUCGUUCAAGUCCCAAUCUUGAAAGGAGCAGAGCACAAUGACGAGGAGCCGAGUCAAGAAGGAGAUAUAUCAUUUAAUGAUAGAUGGACUGAUACUUCUGUGAGAGCGCCUUCCGACCAUAGCGGAGAAAUAGAAGAGAUUCCGCUUGCUGAUCAAGUAGCAGAAACAAUUUAAAUUCCACAGUAAAGUUUGUAUUUUUUUUGUGCUAGUCUUAUUUCAUGUGUAUAUCUGCUAUUAUAUUUUCACUGUCGCCACAGAACUCUGUUAGGAUGUGUUUGUAUUAACCCCUGUUAUCAUGAUGUAAUGUUCCUGGACGAAUAGUAGCAGUAAUCUGGCUAAAACUCUGUUUGGAUGUGUUUGUAUUAACCAACACCUAUUAUCAGGAUGUAAUGUUCUGGACGAGUCUAAGACACCGAUGAUUCUUCAAUGAUUGCAUUCUCUCUGCUUACAACUGUUAUUUUUAGACUCUUCUUAUAUUGUAGUAACAUACGGAAAUAGGCCUCAAUGUGUGAAAACUUGGGGCUACUGGACUGAGCUUGACUUAGUCUCCUUCUCAUUGUGCUAAGAGUUUUGAGUAAUGUUAUGACUAAUCAUGUCCCGUUCAUGUAUUACCUGAUCCAAAAGCGGGACUAUGCAUUGGCGGAUGAGAAAGACAGAGCAUGAAAUGGGGAAGCUGCCGCUGGUGGGAGUCUGCACGGCUGCUGGUCUCAUUCUCAUAGCAAGGGAUCGUGGCACUCCUUAGCCCCUGAUGGCGCCCGCCGCUGCCUGAAGAGUGAAACAGAGAAAAACAAUGAUGGAGCAAUCUCUGGACGUGUUCAUGAUCUUCCUAUCUAUUAAUUAUCCAUGGAUGGGAGCGAGGUCUAAUCGUUGUGUGGUGUACAAACUAUAUAGUAUAUACUGUAGUAGAACGAGAACUGCCUCCCAGUACAAAUUUGUAACAGUUCGUUCUUCUUUGAACAUGAUUAAUUAAUAAGGCGAGUGGUCUGUAUACUACGUAAUGAUGAUUGGUGCACAUGAAAUGUGACCAACAAAUUCAUGUGACCUACGAGGACUCAAAAUUUAGGAAGAUUUCUAUGCCAACUUCCUGAAAAUGUGGCACUAUGGCGGAGUCGCUGGAGGUAAUGUAGACCAAACACCUAUAAAGAUUUUAGUUAAUUCUGAUUAUUAAAAGAAUAUUUUUAUUUAAAUAUUUUUUAAAAAAAUUAAAAAAAUGGAGAAAAUCGUAUUAGAUUUUGUUAAGUUUAAUUUGUCUAUUAAAUGAAAUCUUAAAAUAUAAGUUUACUUGAAAAUUUGAAAGUAUUUUUUUUACAAAGAAAAUUGAUGAAAUUUGAUUUGUAUGUGAAAUUAAUAAAUUUUAGUUAAACUUUAAUUAUCUAAUUUUAGCACGCGCGGGCAAUAAUAUAAUUCUAUAUAUAUAUAUAUAUAUAUAUACUACUUAUAAAAGCGUGAGUUUUGAAAUUUUUUCCUUCCCAAAAAUGUCUCUAUCUUUUUUACUAAUAUUGUCAAGUCCAGUAAAUUUCAACCACUCAUUUUAAAUAAAUCUUUAAAUAAUAAUUUAUUCUUAAAUAUAGAUCUUAAGUUUUCGCCAUUAGAUCUCAUCCAACGAAUAAAAAUAAAAGUAUCUGUCAUUUUUGUUGACCUCCUAUCUACGCCGCGUUUCUCAUAUUUUUUUUUUUCUACCCACCAUACGUAAAACUAAAUUUAUCUCUUAUCUAACGUAAUACCCGUCAAUCAUACAAUACAUUCGCUAAUACCCCAAAUCAAAACUAAAUCGUUAAUUAAAUAUAAUUUUAAAUAUUUUUAACAAAAUAUUCAAUAUUUAAAUAAUGCGUCGUAAAAGCAUAGAAUAUUUUUUAAAAAAAUUAAUACCAGUCCAAUCAAAACAAAAUCCUUAAUUAAAUAUAAUUUUAAAUAUUUUUACCAAAAUAUUCAACACCAAAAUAUUCUCCGUGUUCUCAAAUAUAAAAUAUAUUUUAUCUAUUUUAAAUAAAUCUUCAAAUAAUAAUUUAUUCUCAAAUAUAGAUCUUAAGUUUUCGCCAUUGGAUCUCAUCCAAUGAAUAAAAAUAAAAGUAUCUAUUGACAAAAAUAUCUUUUUUUCAAAUAUUUUUUUCUACACAACAAUCAUGUAAUACGUAAAACUAAAUUUAUCUCUUAUCUAAUGUCCUACCGCCAAUCACGUAAUAUCUCCACUAAUCACGUAAUAUGUAAAAUUAAAUUUAUUACAUAUCCAAACAUUUUUUCAAAUAUUUUUUUUCUCAAACGUAAUACCUACCAAUCUAAGUACCAAAAUUAAAUUUUAAAUUUGUAAUGCCCGCCAAAAUUUAAUACCCGCGAAUUUGAUAAUUUGAAUUUUAAUUUAAAAUAUUUCUCUUUUUAUCAUUUCAUAUGAAUAAAAUUAUUAAGAACUAAUUAUUUGGAUGGAUUGAAGUAUGAAUUGAAUUAGAUUGAUUUUCUAGGACGAGAUAAUGCUAACACACAUUGGCAUGAAAAAAUUAUUAAUAACUAAUUAUUUGGAUGGAUUGAAGCAUGAAUCGAAUUAGAUUCAUACUCUAGAACAAGAUAGUGCUAUAACACACAUUGGCAUUUGGAGAGACACUAUUGUAAACAAUUCAGUUGUUGUAUAAAAAUAGUGCACUUUAAUAUCGAUAAUUAGGAUAAAUGUACUUUUUAAUAUUUUAUUUUUUUUGGUAUUUUAAAUUUAUUUAUCAUGAUCAAUUUAGCAAAAUUUUAUAAGUAAAAUUGUGCUUAAUCCACCUAUUCCAAAAACUCAAGAAAUAAAAUUAAGCUAAAUUUUUUACUUAUAUGAAUUCUUAUUAAAUUUACAUUUUUUUUAAUUUUAUCUAUUCUGAUGAUUUACUAAUAUUUAUUUUAUUAUUUUUUUUACUUACAAUGCAAUUUGUACGGAAGGGGAACUAAUGGUGACAUUUUCAAUUAGUUUAGUGACGAAUUUUGUAUUUUUUUUUAAUGAUACCAUGAUAGAUUUUGUGUUCUUUCUUUUAUGAUAUUGUAAUUCUAUUUUUUAUUUCUAUCAUUUUAUUUUAGUAAUGAUUAAAUAUUAUUUAUCGAAUCUAUAAUAUUUAUUUAUAAAUUUUUUUUUUAGUAUUUGUGUGACGUGUGUUGCACCUGCACUUAACUAGUAUAUAUAUAUAUACGGGUCGAUCCCUCUCUUCUCCAUCCAUAAGCACAAAGAACGCACACGUACGUGCGCACAAAGAAUCUCUCAGUAGCACCCAGCCUUCGUCGACAGCACAAGCUAGCUCUCGCAGAACCUCUCUGUAGCACGCAGCCUCCGUUGGAAGCACAAGCUCUUGCAGAAGUUAGCUCUCUGAAGCACGCGGCCUUCGUCCAGCGAGCAUUACUCGAUCGGCCGGUAAUUUGGUUUAUUUCAUUUCUUUGUUAAUGCUCUUUUUAAUCAGCAAUAAUCUGUUUCUUCUUUUCCUUUUGUCCCGUAUAAUUAACGACCGAAACGACAUUAAUUAAGCAAUACAUGAAUUAGUACUGUGUACUUACACCGUAUACGCUCUCUUUUGUUUUUUUUUUUUUUUCUUUUCCUUUUCAGAUCAGAGUAAUUAAGAUUGUCGACUCCUCCUUAUGCCCCUGCGGACGACGGCUUGCGAGCCCUCGCUGGCCAGGCUGAAGGCUUCGGCCGGAACACCAUCGGAGGACUCCACGGCUCCGUGUAUCACGUUACAACAUUGGCAGGUACAUAUAUAACAUACAUAUAUAUAACACACAAACAUUAAUCUCGAUUAAUUCCUAGCCGCUAGAUCAAUUUGUCCAUAUCUAGCUUGUCCAUAUUAUAUAUACAGCAUUGUUGAUUGGUCUCUAGCUCAUAAUUUUGAUUCUUAAUUAUAAAAAAAAAAGUAGUUCUAUUAAUUAUUAACUAAAGGAUAUAUAAUUAAGUAAUUAAAACGCACACCAUAUAUCUGUUAAUUGAGAGACUUAUAUAUAUAUAUUACACACAGCUAGUUAGCGGUUUUAAUUUCUUGUGCAUCAUCUUAAUUAAUUAUGUUGAUCAGUUGUGGCUGCAGUUUUAAUUUUGUAUGUUAUGUUUGCGUACGUAGAUGAUGGAGUUGGCUCACUUCGGGAAGGAUGUCACAGGAAGGAGCCUCUGUGGAUAGUCUUCGACGUGUCCGGAACCAUCAACCUUACAUCCACCUUGAUGGUAUCGUCGUUCAAAAUGAUCGAUGGCCGAGGACGGGUCGUCAAAAUUACAGAAAAAGGUUUGCGGUUGGAAGGGUCCGAACACGUGAUCAUUUGCAACCUACAAUUCGUGGGCGGCGAAGGAGAAGAAGUUGAUGCUAUCCAAAUUAAGUCCAAAUCGACGAACGUUUGGAUAGAUCGCUGCAGCUUGCACGACUACGCUGACAGCCUGAUCGAUGUCAGCCACGAAAGCACCAAUAUUACUAUUUCCAGGUAAUUAAGCAUGCAAUUAAAGCCGAUCGAUCAAUGGAUGCUUUAAUUAAUAUUCUACUUAAUUAUUUGCAUUCAUAUAAAUAAAUAAAUAGUACUUGAUAUAUAUAUAUUCUUUCCCGCGAUUCAUUUCAUGAGCAGCCGCGAGUCAGAUUUGGAAAAGUUCAUCUUUACAACAACUACACUAAAAACUGGGGCAUUUAUGCUGUCACGCCUUCCGUCGAAGCUCAGGUAUGUAUGUGCAUUAAUCUUGAUAUUUCGGAGCUUGCGACGUCCUUUGAAUCUUCCUAUACAUUACAAAUUAAUUAAACUACUUCUUAAACUCCUUCCUGGCUUUUUUGCCUGUAUUACAGAUCGUGUCUCAGAACAACAUACACGAAGCAGGGAAAAAGAUGGUUGUUUUUGAAUAUAAGUUUGAAAAGGUACAUGCAACUUAAUUUUUCUCUUUUUUUCUUCGAAAUAAAAAAGAUACUAGUGAUUUAUAUAUAUUUCGAGGGAUUUAUAUGCAUCCUCAGACUGCCAUAUGUACACGAUCAUAAAUAUGGCCUGCAAGACUAAUAAAUAGUUUAAUUGAAAUUUUCAAACAGGCAGGAGACAAGAAAGAGCCGGCUUCUGGAUGGAUAAGAUCCGAGGGAGACUUGUUUCUGAACGGUGCCAAACCUGGCCUCAAGAACGGUCGAGGUGUUGAUGCUGUUUUCAAGCCUCAAAGUUACUACAAAAAGUGGACCCUUGAACCGGCAUCUUCAGCUCUCAGGGAGGCGAUAGAGUCGAGUGCCGGAUGGCAGAAUGUUCCGCUGCCUCACGACUCUUCUGUUUGAGCUAGAAUGAUUGAUCUUUCGCGACCUGCAUGCAUGCAUGCGCACUACCUAUAUUUUACUUUUAUUUCAAACUUUAGCAGUUUAGCUAGACUAGUUAGUUUAUCUCGUAAGUUUUAGUUGAGAGUGAGUUAAAUUUGUUUGUUUUUACGCACGCUUGCUGUCUAGAAUUCUAGUUGUUCUUUAAAAUUCGUUUUACUAGCUUUUAGUCUGGUGGUGAUUUUUCUGGCGUAUGUGUUAUUAAUUUCGAUACAAUUUAAAGGUUUUACAAGUUUCAGCCGUCAAAUACAUUCUUCCAAAAUUGCAUGGUUUACUAAUAAUCUAUAGGAAUAGAAAAAAAAAUUAAUCCAUCGGCUAAAGUAUAAGGAGUUCGGUUGUAGUUUUACUAUAUCAACCGACGAAACCAGUCUCGCUUAAUUGCCAAUGACAUUUUUUAGAUCAGAAGCACCGGAUAGUUAUAGUUCGUUGUACUAUCACAAAUUUAUAAGCAGAUGUUUUCUUAAACAUUCACGCCCCCCUAAACACAAUAAAUAAAUAAAUAUUUUUAUUCUCAUUAUAAAGAAAUUAUAUGUAAUUUGUAUAAGUUGCAGGGGGCCCAUGGUUACUGUGAGUAUGGGUGAAAACAUAUCAGAUAUUAUCCAAAAAUAUCUAUAUCCGCAUAGAAAAUAUUCGAAUUCGAUCGGAUAUAAAUACGGAUAUGAAUUUAGAAAGUUAAGUUUUUCCGGAUAUCCAAAAAAAAAAAAUUCAGACACGGNCUCUCUCUCUCUCUCUCUCUCUCUCUCUCUCUCUCUCUCUCUCUCUCUCUCGCCUUACUCAUCUCUCCGCAGUCUAAUCUCUUUAUUUUUGCAAGACAAAGGCGGCUUGCUAUUUGUGGGAAGAUGAAAAUUUUCGAUUAAUUUUUUUUGGAGAGAUAAGGAAAAUAUAAUUACAUUUUGUACAUAUAUAAGAAGAUUGAUUAAUAAUUUAUAUAUUAAAAUUACAUAUUUUAUAUAUAAAAAAUAAAGUGAGAAAAGGAGGUAGGAAAAUAAAGUAAUUUUUUUUUUGUGUUUCUCGUUUAUUUUAUAUUUAUAUGUGUAUAUUAAUGUAUAUUAUUAUCUGAAUAAUAUUUUAAUACAUAUCCGAUCUAUAUUCAAAUCCGAAAAAAUAUUCGACCUUAUGUGAAUUCAUUUUUAACGAAUAUGAUAAUAAAAAUUUAGCAUAAAACAUAUAUUUAUAUCCGAAUCUGUAUCUAAAAAAAAAAUGAAUGCAUAUAUGGUUUCGUCAAAUAUCUAAUUAUAUUCUAUCCGUUUUCACCCCUAACUGUGAGCGUCAUGGAAUCAUCAAAUUGAAUAACAUUGUUGAAUAAACCAGUACACUGAAUUUAAGGUUGUUUUUAAAAUUAUACUGUACUUAUUUUUAUUAAUGAUAUCACUAAUUUUUUUUUUCUUUUUUGUCAAUCUACAGUCUAUUAUUAGCAAGGCUACUAUUUUGGAAAUUAACACCUAUAUUAAAAAGAACAAAUGUUUUUUCUUUUUUUUUUUUCCUACAAAACUAUUAUUUUCAAUUUUUGUUAUUUAGCUGGUCUGCUCGCAGCAUUGUUUUCUGUUUUUAACAUUUAUCUGGAAGCAUCAUCGACGUGCAUUGAGCGUGCGUUGAGGGGUAACAUGCGUGUGACUCACGCACCAUGGACGUCCGUCUCGGGCUACAAAACCCGUCGGGUGGAGCCUGGCGUCCGGGCUACAGAAAAAUUUCACAUUUCACACUAUCUUUGACGGAAAAAUCUACUAUUUAACACUUACAUCAUAUCAAUAAUAAUAAAUUAAAUAUAUUUUUUAUUUUCAAAGAUAAGUAUAAUAAAUAUAUAUUUUUUAUAAUCAUGAGGUUAUGAAUUAAUCUAAAAAAAUUUAUUUGAUUGGUUGAGGAUGUCAUAUUAUAUAUAUAUUUUUUAAGAGAUAGGUAACAUGUUAUCUGUUUCGUUUAUUUUAUUUAGAAAUAAAUUUAGCUAAAAAUGUAAGUCAAUUAGAAUUCGAACUUGGGUCUCGAAUACCAACCACCAAACCCUUUGUCACUUACUCUAGAGACGGUCGGUAGGACGCCAUAUUAUAUUAUUAAUAUAUUUGGUGCAUUUUAAAAUUUUGCUAUUCCUUUGUUUUUCUCUUAUCUAGUUAUAAAAUAGUUUUCAAAAUUAAUGGUAUGGUAUAACAAAAUAAGCUUCUAAAUUUUGUAAUCUAUGAUAUUUAUAUAUAUAUUUUGAAAACAUUCAGAAAACAAAUAAAAUAUAAUACAAUCCGACGUUCUGCACGCAAUAAUUUCUCGGAUUCGAUUAGGAUUUGCUCAAACAGAUCGAGUUGAGGGUCCUACUUUUUAACCACCCGUACCGUGCCAACUCAGCGAUGACGUAUGCUCCGUCUUCUUUGCAUUAUAAAAAAUAAAAAUUUACAUGUGCCGGGGCCGGGCGGCGCACUUUAAGUCUUUAACACCUCCCCACUCACUCUCCCACCCAAAAAGAAAAAAAAAAAGAAAAGAAAAAGAAAACUCAUAUUUUUAAUAAAUUUAAAUAAAUAAUAUUAUAUAUAUGAUAAAGGCUAUUUAUGUAUUUAUUUUUUUUGGUAUAAAAUUUACGCUCUAUUUAUAAGAUGCGACUGGAAAAUAGUUGACCGCGAUGACGGGGGAGAGGAAAAGAGGACGACUCCAAUUAAUUCCAAGCGUCGUCUCCGUCGUCGCUCGCUCUCUACCCUAACGUAACUACGCCUUCCCCAACCGCCUCCGAUCACUUCUACUCACCACCUCGUCAUCCGCCGCCGCCGCCGGCGCCCUGAAACCCCAGAUCCUCUUGUAGCAAGCGAUUCGAUCGCCGAUGAGCGGCGGCGGAGCGGCGGCGGCGGCGGCGGCGGCUGGGGAGGGGCCGUACUCGGAGGCGAAGACGUCGGUGUGGUGGGACAUCGAGAAUUGCCAGGUGCCGAGGGCGUGCGAUCCCCACCUGAUCGCGCAGAAUAUAAGCUCGGCGUUGGCGGCGUUGGGCUACAGGGGCCCCGUCUCCAUCUCCGCCUACGGCGACACCAGCAACAUCUCGCCCGCCGCACAGCACGCCCUCUCCAGCACCGGCAUCGCCCUCAACCACGUCCCCGCGGGUACUAGCGAUGAUCUGAUCCUAUCGCAAAUCCCUAACGCUAAUCCGAUUAUAGAUCUCGAUUCUUUCUUUUUCUUUUUCUUUUUUUUCUGUUGUGUAUUAUGAGAGUUUUCUAUGCAUUCGUGCUUAGUGGGACGCUAUUGGUUUCAAUCGGAUUGAUUUGUCUAUGGAUCUAGUGUUAUGCAGAAAAUUAGGGUUUUUCACGCUCUGUACUGUUUAGUUUUACAGUCUCAUAACAGUGAUUGCGGUUUAUGUUUAGUCAGUUUGCUAUCUUUGUGAAGUAGUAGUGAAGUUUUAGGGUUUUGGAUUACCUUAUCAUUCAUUAUCUUUGUGAAGUAGUAGUGAAGUUUUAGGGUUUUGGAUUAUCUUAUCAUUCGGGAGACUUGUUCUGGGACGUGAAUUAUUUAUCAUUGUCUUUAUAUCUCCGAGUAUACUAUAUCUCUGAGUACAUGGUGUAGUCGGUAUCGAUGCAUUGGGUGUUUUGAAUUUACAUACACUAUUAAGGUUAACUGUGAUCCUGACAUAUGCAGGGUUGAUAUUGCAGUGUGUCUGUUUGGACUUCUUGUAUGAUAUAUCUUGUCCAUGCCUUUGAUGGGUGAUGAAACUUUUGAUUUUCUGAUGCUUUGUUCCAUGAGUGCAUAUCUUGUAGUGAUUGGUUCUCUAACAGGGUUCUUAGGAAAUUACAUAUCAUGAUUUUUUUCCCCCCUUAAAGUUCUACUUCCCCUGAUGAGAUACUUUCCUAAACAAAUGCAGGUAUAAAAGAUGCGAGUGAUAAAAAGAUUCUAGUUGACAUGUUGUUUUGGGCUAUCGACAAUCCUCCUCCUGCGAAUUAUUUGCUCAUUUCUGGUGAUCGGGACUUCUGCAAUGCCCUUCAUAAGCUACGUAUGAGAAGGUAUAAUAUACUCCUCGCUCAACCACCUAAUGUAUCUCAAGUGCUGGUUACCGCUGCAAAGAGCGUGUGGCUGUGGAGGUCCCUUCUUGCUGGCGGACCACCAUUAACAGAGUUGCCAUAUGUUAGUACUGUGUCAAAUGCCAAUGCAUCAGAGGUAAGUUCAUCUAAGACCACUAUACCAGAACCUGGACAGACAAAUCAGACUAUCAACGCUUCUGCUCUUGCCUUGAAUUUGGACAAUCAAAGGAGAAGUGGUAAUGGAAAGAUUGAUAAUCACCAAAGAGGAAAGCAAGUGUGGAAGACUGCACACAAAUAUCAGAAGGAUAUGAAUACACCUAGAACAACAAGUACUGAAUUACAGACGCAGCCAUCUGGAAGUCAAGAAGGUCUUUUUGAUGGAGUUUCUGAAAGUAAUAUUCAGAAACAGUCUUCUGCAGACCUGUCAAAUCAAGUUUCUACAUCUAUGGGCUCAAGUUCGAGAGCACAAGAGAAUGCCAACUCGAACUGCACGGUGAAAAAUCCUUUGUUCCCUGAAUCAUUACCUAAACCUAGUAAGUCACCUGCUAAAUCCGGUUAUUCUCACGAGAAUGAAGAAGCACUUCCUAAGGAAGCGCCUCACAAGUUCUUUGGAGCUAAUAAAUCCAACACAGCACGUCCAAGUUUUCCUCAACCAGAUAAUAGGUAUCCCAUGAACAAUGGGUAUAAGAACCCAAAUUAUCAGCAAACUCAAACUCAGCCAUUAAGACCGAGUGAUCUGCUGGCUUCUCAGCCUAAUACUGCGAAGGGGAGCUUGCAUUUGUCAAAUUCUCACAAAAGCAACCCUCAUCCACCUACAUCAAGGCCUAACGGCCCGCCUCUUAGUUCUCAACAACCCCGAGCAAUCAACCCACCUUUUACUUCAGCUGGAAACCCACCUAAUAGACCUACUUUUCAUCAACACAUUCCGCCUUUUCAAUCAUAUCCAGAGCCGUAUAAUAAUUAUCCUCCAGGCCCUGCAAAUGUCCUGCAUAAUAUGCAACCUCCAUAUUAUGAUUAUAGUCACAGGCCCCCGAUUACACAUCCUAUGCCUGGCAAUGUGCAUAAUCCUGGGUUCUGGGGAUGCCCAGAACCAUCAAGUGAUGUUCAAGGUCUCACAGGGAACAUUUUGCAAGCAUUGAACAUUUUGAGAAAUGAUAAAAUGGCCCCCACAGAAGCUAAUAUUGCAGAUUGCAUUCAUUUUGGGGAGAUGAAUAUUCCACAUUUCAAUGUUAAGAUGGCUCUUGACUAUUCCAUUCAGCAUCAGGUCGUUGUAAUGCACAAAUUAGGAGGCAAUUUGCCAUUUUUUGUGGGGAAAAAUGACUCACUUUGGAAAUGUGUGAAUGUGAUGGAUAGUACCAUUAAGCAUCCGAAGGAGACUUGGGACGCUGUUUCGAGGUUCCUUUCUUCUAGCAAGGGGCAUUCUAUGAUAUUGGCCUCUCAAUGCAUGUAAGGAGUUUUACUAUGUCCGUGGUUUUUUUUUUUUUUAACUGGGUUAAUUACAAGUACCAUUCGCAUGCUUUGACUCCUAUUUCAAUUUCAACCUCUUUAUUUUUCAAUUGCUUCAAUUUGACCUUGCGUGGGUUUUUCAUUCUAGUAAGAUACUGAAUAUUUUUGGGCUAAAUUGAGAUGAUUAAAAUGUGAGGUUGAAAUUGAAGAAAUAAAAACAUCAGGUAGAAAUUUAGAUAAGGAUGAAAGUGCAGGGGUGGUCUUUGUAAUUUAACCAACAAAUGUCCCUAAUACUUAAUCCUAUCUUCUUGUUGUUUUUAGGUAUCAAGCUGCCACUAUACUAAAGAAGAAAUGCCUGAAACAUCUUGUUCUUGGUGAAAUUCUGCAGAUUUUGCAUGCUGCAAUCUCAGUGAAGAGGUGGAUUAUACCUCAUUCGUCUGGUUGGCAGCCAUUGACUCUCCAUGUAGAGGUCGUGGAUUUGAAAGCAGAAUCCAGUAGUAAUAGCACUAAAUGACAAAUCUCCUUGGAUUGAGGGGGAUCUGUGAGGUGAAACAAGUUUGGCUUCAUACUAUUUCACUGAAUUAGGUUCUAUUAUGGUAUAGAAUAAUAUAUAUAUAUAUAUAUAUAUAUAUAUAUAUAUAUAUAUAUAUAUAUAGAUGUGUAGAUAGUGGUUUUGUGGACACUCUGUGUUUCUUUUCUUCUUAAUGGUGAUACAAGAGCUCUUGGGAAUUUCGUUGAAGCAAGGAAGGACAGAACUAUUUAAAGUAUUUUGGAAAUGCAAACUAUUUGAAGUAUGGCUCCUUCCUGGUAGGCUGGGUUUAACAGGAGUAUUUGGACAGUCUGAUUGAAGGUGCUACAAAGAAUUGUUACGUUAAGGGGGACUAUCUUCUUUUGCGGGAGAUGGAAAAGAUACAUUAAAUCAGUCUUAAUUCAGAAUGGUAAUUAUGUUUGGAUCAAAUAUGAGUUGGUUCAGGUUGCUUUGCUCGUCUAUCUCAGAGGAUUAGCUCACUGAAGUUGUUAUUGGUACCCAAUAACUUCUGGUUACUCAUGUGGUAAGCAAGUGAAAGUAGAAGCAGAUGAAAGUUCCUUUAAAGUUAAAUACUUCCAAGUCACAAAUAUGAAAGGGAUGUAUAAGGUCUUAAUUCUCUUACAACAAAACUGUCGUGCUUUUGGUAAUAUAUGCAGAUGACUUAAUGAAGGACCAUUUGAGAUAUUUCUGGUCUAUGCUUCCCAGGAUGAGGAGCAGGUUUAUCAGGAGGAUAAACUAUCUUUAUAUUUCUUAAGCAGCUGUUUGCUAUCAAGUUAUCACUGAAGCUUCUGUUAUUCUACUGCUGCCACGGCAUCGGAAGAAGCUCAGAUUGCCCCAAAAAUGCAUGCCCAAACUUGUUUUUACUUUUUGAUCGUCAUCCCUGUUGACACUUUAGGUUUUUCUAGCUUGGUCUAUGGUCACCAACUGGGUGUGGGUCAUUACUUAUUGUUAUAAUAUGAUUUGGAUCCUCAGGUAACUAGUAGCUAUUUUGUGUCGUUUCCUUUGUUGGAUUUUCUAUUAGAUUUGGUUAAAGGCUUGUUCUCUUUGCAUCUAGCAUGUGUGAAUAGCACUAAUAGUCCCUGAACCUUUAUUUAAGUUUCACUGUGGUUCUUGAACUUAAAAAGUGCUGGGUCUUUCGUCCUUAUUACCACCUAUUGUUGCAGGAAAAAUUAUUGCAUGCACCCGAUGGUGCGUCUGUACAGUAGUGUGCCAUGAAUUUAUUAGUUCUCCAUCCAUCUGGCUCAUAUUUUCAGCCCAAACGGCGGAUUUUAUGUAGUGAAAUCAGUGGGCGAUAAGUAUUGAAAUAUCAGAUGGAAUCAGGAGCUGAUGGAUUGAUGGUACAUUGAUGUAGCACUUGCAAGUGAUAUGUUUUUCUCAAUGAGUAGAUGAGUAUGAUGACUAAAAUAAAAUAUUUCCAAGUCUCUUGGGAUUGUGUUUAUAAAAGUUUUGAGGAUUGAAUUGAAAGUUAACGUUUGGGGACUGAUUGUGCAAUUUACCCAACCUUAUAUUCACCCCUUGUACUUUAACUACUGUUCCACGCCUUGUGUGCGCUAUGUUUGCUGAUUUUUUUUUUUUUUAUUAGAGAUAGGCAGCACGCUAUUCGUUUUAUUUAUUUUAUUUUAUAAAUAAACUUAGCUGAAAAUAUGAAUCAACUAGGAUUUGAACUUGAGACCUCAGAUAUAUCACUAAGCCUUUUGUCAUUUGCUUUAGGGGCGGUCCGUUAUGUUUGCUGAUGUUAGCUCUCAUUUGGGUGGUGUAUUAACUUCUACUGGCCUAAAGAUAUUGCAAUUUCCAUCAUGUCCUUGAGUGAAAUUUCUUCCUCUGGUUUGAUUUUGGUUUUCUGGCUCUGCUGCUGCUGCUCUUUUAAUCAAAUUUUUGUGAUUCGACAAAAUUUGAUGGUUUUACUCGCCUUUUAGAAAACAGAAUUAGAAGAAUUAAUAGCUAACAAUUAUUAUAUUUAAUGAAAAUUUUAACUUUAAUUAAUUUUAAUAAUUUAAAUUAAAAAUAAAAAUUAUGGAGGAGUCAACAACGAAAAGUAGUUUAGGGGCUCAGCCAAAGAGAGAAAUUUCCCGACGGUGAGGAAUAUUACAGCGUUGAAAACUGAAAACUGGAAACUUACUCUUUUAGGUUAAAAAACGAAACAUCCCGAAAAUCGACUUGUCAAAAAUAAGGCGAGUGUCGGACAAAGCCCAUCUGAUCUAGCUCGGCCCAUAAGAAUAUACUUUCUGGGCCCACCAUGUUAGCGCUCGUUGCAAACUACACAGCAUCGCAAUCGCCGGAUCGGGCUCGUAGGCCCAUUUAAAGCGCACGCCUCUCCUGAUUGGGCUGGGCUUUAUCCGACUCCCACCAUAAAGCUUACUUUUAGUCACUCUCGUUAGUACGCGUGUCAGCGUGACAAAUCACCGUUGGUUGCCCCGAAAUAAAAAAUUAAAUAAAAAAUAAAUAAAAGAAUUAGACUAACUAAAAAAUAUAUACUACAUCUUAAUUCAACAUUUGCAAAUUAUAAAUUUCGUCCAAAUCUUAGAUAACAACUUAUUAUUGAUGAGUUAUGAGUUUUCAUUAUCAAAUUGACUCUGAUAAAUGGUAGAUUAAUCACACAAUUCCCUUUCCAACUAAACUUCUCUGUAACCGCACAUGCCGGUCGUUUGGUGUCAUCUCUUCACAAAAGAACACCCAGUAAUAGAGUACAAGAAAAAGAGUAAAGAGGGGAAAAUAAUAGACGUUACUUGCCAAAUGGUAAGUGAGAGUGUGAGACUACAUUAAUACACAUUCCGCUCCAACAGUAGAUUCACAACAUUAGGAUGAUGACCUCUCCACUAUAUCAACUUGCUGCAUGAUUUAGCUACCACUACAAACACGAAAAUGAAAAUGGGUCAUAGACUCAUACUACUGGGUAAAAAAAAAACCCUAUAAGGCUACCUGCUUUGAUCAAUUUUGAAAUAAACUAUAUUUCCUGACUCAAAAAAGAGAAAAGAAAAUUGAAUAACUAUGAGCCAAAUGAUGCAAUCGCAUCCAUCUCCUCUUGCAGAAGAAGCGCAUCAAUGAAAACGUCUAGGCUAUCCCCUUCCAAAACAUCCUCCAUAGAGUGAUGAGUGAUCCCGAUGCGGUGAUCAGUGACUCGACCCUGAGGGAAAUUGUAUGUCCGGAUCCGCUCAGACCUGUCACCGCUUCCAAUCUAUUCAAGUCAUUAGCAUAUCCUGUGGUUGGUCGAAGUAGUAAAUGAAGAAAGAAGAGCAUGCUGCUGCUUACCUGCUCUGAUCUAAGUUUUGAUCUGCUCUUUUGUAGCCUAGACCUCUCCAUUUCAUAUAAUCUUGCGCGUAGCACUUUCAGAGCUUUAGCCUUGUUCUGGAGGGGGAGAAAAAGAUACUCGUAAGAGAAGUCACUUUUACAAUUCAUAUAACCAUCUUAUUCAGUUAAUAUGUAACUUCUUCAAUUAAGAAGCAAAAAACACCAAGCUUUCUAUUCAUGUCAUAUGCACAUACAAGAGGACCAACAUAUGGCAGCAUCAUGAGAGAAAGAAGAGAAUUUGUUUUAAGAUGAAAAGAGAGAAUUGGGGAUAACUACUUACCAUGUGUUGCGACCUUUCAUCUUGUAUAGCAACAGUUAUUCCAGUAGGGAUAUGGGUAAUCCUAACAGCACUGUUGGUGGUGUUGACAGACUGGCCUCCACAACCACCAGAUCUGUAUGUAUCAAUUUUCAGGUCGUCAUUUCGCAAUUGAACAUCAACCUGCAAUGGUUGGUCGGGCAAAAAAAGCAUUUAAUUUGCCAAGUAGUCACAUAAAGCUUGUUUAAAACUUCAUCAAGUAUAGAAAAGAAAGAUUAAUAGUACAGAAGAAUAAAUCAUGCAAAGUGUGUUUGAACUUUGGAAGUGAAUGCCUUCCUAGUAUUUUUAACAUACUAGCCAUGAGCAUAUAAGGGCCUAUCACUGCCAACUAUCAAGGAAAGUAUAUCUGUGCUCACAUUUGAAAUUUAUGGACCUCAAAAAGAAAAAAUUCAGAGAAAACACAAAAUUAAAAAUUGACAAAUAAGAGUAAAUAGCUAUUCACUAUAAUUGCCAACGUAGUCCUAAUAAGUAAAUUUAAAUACCUGACAAGUUUACAAUAGCCAUUAUCAGCACUUUCAGUGGUUUGUGGCAACAUUUGGAGUAUAAGCAUAUCACACUGAAAAGGUGUUUUUUAUUAGUCAACUUCCUAUCAUCUUCCUGAUAUAUGGGGUUAAAAGGCUAAGCAAGCAAACAAAAGUCAAUUGACCAUAGUUUCUAACUGCAUGCAGUGUAAAGACACAAAAGACCAAGAUCAAAACACAAUAAGGGGAAAAAACUAAACAGAACUAUCUGGUUAAAAUAGAGCCAGCACACACGCUAACAAGCGGCAUGGAAUAAAAACAGGAAAAAGCAUCACAUUAAAUUGAAAAAUUGCAUACGGGAAUAUAUCCUACCUCAUCAGCCUGAGGAAGAAUAGCAACAGAUACAGCACUUGUAUGCACCCGUCCCGACUUCUCUGUCACUGGGAUUCGCUGCCAAAUACAAGGACAAAAACUAAUUCAUAAAUAACCUAAACACACAAUAGGAUGCAUAAGAGGAAUCAAUGUAAGUCUUCAUCUCACCUGAACUCUAUGAAUGCCACUCUCAAACUUAAGCCUUCCGUAUGCACCUUGGCCUGAUAUUGUUCCACUAGCUUCCUGUUAUAUUGAUCUUGUUGAAGUGAGCCAAAAAAAAAAAACCAUCUCUCAUUCAACUUUCAUGGAAAAGAAUAUGGCUAUAUAUUCAUUGCUAACAGCCUGUUUAAUAACUUAUGGCAAUAUAUUAAUACAUGCAGACGUGCAUAACUAUCCACGGGCACAAACAGAUAGGGCACCGAGCAUUAAACGGUCCAGUCUGUUCAGAUUCUGCUACUCUAGCAACAACACCAAAAGAAAAAAAAAUGAAGAGUACCUUGUAUCCUUUUAGAUCAGACUCCAUUAUUUGUACAACAUCAAAUUUCCAGCCAUUCUUCUGAGAGUAUUUCUCAUACCUGUAAUUAAAAAUAAUUACCACCAUUCGUUCGAAAAAGUAAUUUUCUACAGACAUCCACAAUCCAGGAAAGAAACAUACAUUUUAAAUACAUCCAUAGCAAAUAAAGAAGCUUCUUCACCUCCAGUUCCUGUUAAAAACCUAGAAUCAAUCUCAAUGACUUCAAAGCCAAGGAAAAAGCAACUAAGGAAAACGAAAGUCACCUUUAGGUUCUCUUGAAUUGACUAAUAUAUAUUUAGAUCAUGUUACCUGCUCUCACCUCCAAUAUACAAUCCUUCUCAUCAGCAUCAUCCUUUGGAAGAAACGACUUAAACAGUAAAUACUGCAGCCUUUUCUCCUCCUCAACAGCUUCGGCCAAUUCCACUGCUGCCAAAUCGCGCAUUUCUUUGUCUUCAUUAGAGUUGGAUAUCAAUGACCUCAGACUGUCAAUCUCCUGCAAAGGAAAAUGCUUCCUCAAGGUCAACAAGGUGAAUGAUGUCAAUCUGAAUAAAUAGUUGACGCUAAUAGAAGGAAACAACGAGAAGUUUAACUAUUGAGGAAAAAAAGAAGCAAAAAACUUUAUGUCGAUUUCAUAUAGUAAUGCAAUACCAAAAGGUCGUGCACAUCACUGGUAAAUUUCACUUACACAGUUUGACAAACAAAAGAGUUAGUGCAUGGGGCAAAAGAUGACUAAAAUCAUAGGAAUUAAUGACAAAAGAAAAUAGAAAGCCCCAAUAAUUCUGCUUAUGUUUAUAAAGUAAGAAAAAUACCGCAGCAAAUACCAACAAUAUACUAAAUAACUAAUAACAAUGUGAUACCCUGAUUGGGAGAAGAAUAAUAUCACAACAUAGUCAUGUUUGAAAAUUAGGCCCUGUUUGGAUGCAGGAAUAUCUUUCUCGGUAUAUCCGCUGAAUUUAUUCAAAAAAUGUGUACAUUUGAUUAAUAAGGAGUAUGAUCAAAUAUUUAGAAUUGAAUACUAUAUUCGGUCUUCAAUCAUUUUAAUCGAUAAGAUAAAUCACUUCAUAGGUGAAAUAUGCUAUCCUACUAAAUUAUAGAUAAUAAAACCUUUGAAGGAGCAAAAAAUCAAACUCUUUAGUUGAGAUCAUACUAAAAAAUACUUAUACAGAAUAAAUUAUCCUUGGAUAACUUAUUCCUGACAUCCAAACUAGGCCUUAAAAGUUUGAGUGCCAAUGUGUUAGGAUCUACCAACAAUUCAUUGUACCUGUUAUAUUUCAAUUAAAAAUGCCAGAAACAAAAGAUAUAUGAUUUGUGAAAGGAAAGAUAUGCUUAUCACCUCCUUCUUAGCUCUCAAUUCGUUAAUCAGCUUCGUAGAGUACACUAGUUUUUGAAGCUCCUUAUUGGCCCUUGAAUAUUCUUCUGCCGAUGCUGCUGGCUGUCUUCACAACAACAUUACAAAUAUGCAGUCAACUCAUUUUACUCAUACAAAACUGUCAGUUCAUAACAUGCAAGUAUAUGAUAGGAGAGACACUUGUAAAAUAGUCAAACAAACAAAAGUUGAUGCACAAUCAUGAGAUAGGAGAGACACUUGUAAAAUAGUCAAACAAACAAAAGUUGAUGCACAAUCAUGAGAUAGGAGAGACACUUGUAAAAUAGUCAAACAAACAAAAGUUGAUACACAAUAAUGAAAAAGUAAACGAUAAUCUCUCAAACAGACUUUUAUGUGAAAUUAUCUCAAUAAGAUAUAGUGAAAUUGGAAUUUUGAAGAAUUUGGGAAACCAAAAAAAAAAGACAAUCUACAAUACUGAUCAACCACAGUAUAUUGUGGGCAAGAAAAUUUUCCUAAUCAAGAUGAUAAGAGUUCGGCAAAAUUUCACACAUUUUUACGAAUUUAAGUUUUACAUAAGUCAUUAUAUUUGUAAAGUUGCAAUAAUGUAAGGAUAAAUUUUGGCAAACAUUUCAUAGCAUGAUAUUGGCUCUAGAAUUCGGAGAAAUUACAAUAGCUAAAGGAAAAGAGGUAGGUUUUGCAGAACAAAUCACAACUUACAGAUAUUGAUUGAAACUUGACAGAUUCAUUAAAAUAAAAAUGACCACGUAAUGGCAAGAUUUUACGAUCUUUUCUGAAAGAAACUCAUAGGCCAUUGUUAAAGAUUCAUAUAUUACGGAUUACACAAGCCAUGUAUCAGGUCAACUUUAACCAUGUUUUCCACAUCUAGCAACUGUGUAGCCUAUGUUCCUCAACUUUUUGUGUUUAAGAUGAUUAAACAAAUACAUUAAUCAAUAAUAUAGGUAAAAUUAACGAAAGCGAGUCUGUUUAUUUACCUCUUCUUCCUUAACACAUCAUAGUAUAAUAGAUGAUUCUCUGGCAAUUUUGUAGUGAGAAAAAUUAAGUUACCUGAUUAAUUUGCUCCUGAAGGUGCGCGCUUCUCUGUUCGAUAGAAAUCAUUCUUUGCUCCAUGAUUUUAAGAAGGUUAGCAGGAAGUUGCGGAUGCAGUUCUGGAGAUACAAAGGGUUCAGAGAAUAGUCACGUUGAUUGAAUCGGCACAAGUUAAGAUGCAUAAAAGCCAGUAUACUACAGGAACUCGUACGAAAAUUUGAUUUUUCGAAAGAUAAGAACACUACACCAAGAUGAAAAGGGGAAUACAACAUACAUAUUGGUUAAAUCACGUUAAAAAUGAGCAUACAUACAAUUACAAAAGCAAAAGCGAUUGGAUCUUCGUUAGAAUGAACAAAAGCAUACCAGUGGAGUAUAAUCGCGGAGGCGAAUGAGAGGCCACCGAGAUCGAACGCAUUAAUGGCUCCCUGUAGGGAAUUGAGACCGGAGAACAUGGAGAAUCGAAGGAUCGAAAUCUAUGGAGCUCGCGAAGCAAGCUUCGUCCCCACCGAAACCCUAGAUACCUCAUCGCCGUCGCAGCUCGUAGUACUACUCUCUCUGUGACUCCCCCACCCCCCGGCCCCCACCCAAUACGAAGAAAAGAGAAGGAUCCGCGAUGGGUUCGAAUUGCAUGGGCCGGAUUAUGUGGCAGAUGAUCGCGCUCAGAAGUUCAGUUUCCGGGCCCCAUAGUACAUGGGCCGGGCAAUCGAAACCAUGAUCGGGCUUAGAAUUUCAGUUUCCGGCUCAAUACGGACCAAAUAAGGUUGAGAGAGUCUGAUUUUCCAGCCCAAAAUGAUGGGCCUUAGCCCAAUGAGGUCCAGCACGUAAUGAAUAUCCGUUGAGGAUUGCACAGGAAAGCUACAUAAAAUUUAAAAAUUCUUUUGUUUUUUAGUAAACCGAAACAUGAAGCAGUAAAAAAAACAAAAAAAAACAUCCAAACUAGUCGGAAUUCAGCUGCCACUUUUCUUAAAAAGAGAAAACUAAACAGCUGUUUUUUCUUUUUAUUAGAAUAUUCAGACAGCUCCGUAGAGUUGCCUGUUUUGGUGAUUUUUCAUUGUCAAAUAGCUGGCUUCUACGAUCUUGAGUAAAGCAACUACCCUUUAUUGCAGAUUGAAUAUGAUACUUAAAAAUCUCUUAGCAAAAAGCAUUUGAUAUUCCAGAAUGAUAAGAUAAGGGAAAAGGAUAAGCCAUCCUGUAGUGCAGACUACAUACAACAGUGCAUUUCUAGUUAGACACAGACAAUAGGUAAAAAAGGUGAAGGACUGAAAUUCUACAUGGAAUAUCUAAGUAAUUAAAAAAAUUUACUUAAUGGGCAUUACAAGGUACAAACGGACGCUACAAGAUACAAACCGCCGCUGCAAAUGUUAGGUUACAUGCCCUAAUAGCCGGAAGCUAACCACAAAUAACAAGAUUUAAUUACCAUAUCCAUUGCUCCAAAAUCAAAAUCUACAAGAAUUACAAGAAAUUAUAUACAAUUAGAAAGGUGAGCAUACUCUUCAUGUAAAUACAUUUGCAGGGUUUAGCUGACAGAUAGCUUAUCACCCAACUCCUUGCGAUAAACUUGAAUGAGACCAGCACUGUCAAUUGUCUCGAGCUUCUCCACCAACAUGGUUCUGUAGUGUUCAUCUUUAUCCUCUAAAUUUCUCAUCAUUUGAACCUAAUACAUCAAUAAGUGUUGUAAGUUUAGAGUUGGAAAUCUACAAAUUUAUCCCAUGGUUCUAAUAGGCAUCAGAUGCCAUUCUAACAACUUUAAAAAGAGAAACUGUUUAUGCAGACACUGAAACAUGACAUUUUCAUAUGUCGGAAUGGUUCCAUAAUUAAAAGGAAGAAGUAAUUGGCUUGACUAGUCGUACUAUGCGAACAAUCAACUUGGCCAGUUAAAAUGCAGCACACUUCGCCUCAAUAUAGGGCUCUCUCCAUUUUAUUGUAUUUUCUAAAUAAACCAAAUGUUUUGUGCUGCAUUUUGAUUGGCCAUGCUCUACUUCAUGUUGGUCCAGGCAAAUCAUUUCUCACUGCCACGAGCUCAAAUUCUAAAACAGAUGAUUUCUCUCUGGUUUGCUUUCAUCAGGCAACUUAGGCUUUUAUUAUUUCAACAUGGGCAUCAAAUACAAGGAUGCGUGUGUUUCAGAGAUCAUGCCAUUAGUAAUUCACAUGCACAUCAUAGCACCAUUUGAUUCUCCAAAAAUCCUAAUUGAGUAGGGCUGUUUUGAAGAAACACUAACAGCUUUUCCAUUUAAACCCUCCGGAUAUCUUUCAGCAGAACAAAAGCUUCAGAAAUCAAAGCUUCUGCUUUGAUAUUCCAGAAGCUAAAUUUCAGCUCAUUCCUUUUGGGUUCUGCUGCUGUGCUUUGAAGUAGGGCAGUUGAAGAAGCAAGAACAGAUUUUUUGUUAAAAAUUCAUCGAAAACAGUUUUCAACUACAGAAAAAGCAAAGCUUCAAACUGAAGCUUCUGCUUUUGGGGGGUCUAGAAGCUCAUCUCAGCCUACCCUCUAAAGCAAAAGGUCUAGCCCAUUUAUUAAUCAAUUACCUUGCAGCUGCUUUAGACAAGUUGAAUAACCAUAUACUUGUAACUCGGUAUGUUGAAGCUUACCUGUCUCUGAAACAAAUCAAACUCUUCAGAGCUCAAAGAGCCGUCGCUAUUUUCAUCAAGAAGAUGCAUAAGUUCCUUUGCAUCUUCACCUCCAGCUCCAAGCUCUUCCAUGACUUCAGUGAGCUCUUCAAUACUGAUCCUCCCAUCACCAUUCUUAUCAAGAAGGCAGAAGACUCGGUUUCUGCAGUCGAUCUCUGCUCCUGUAUUAUUGCCAGGUGGUAGAUCUCUAAGGCGUAGAGCAGCUACUUCAGCCGCAGCCAUCAUAAUUGCCUUCAAUCUUUUUGCCUGAACCAAAAGAAAAUUUUGAGAACUGAUUUCUUAGCAAAGUUGCAUUGUAAGAGUUUUUGAAGAUAAGCUCAAUUCUAGUCUUGGUUUGCUUGCAAAACAGACCAAUGUGGCCUAGGAAAACCCAGAAUUCAUCCUUCAAAUUAGUUAACUGUCUUUGUUCUGGCUAGCACGGAAAUUAAAUUGACAGACAGGACUUACAAACAUGCAUUCAUCUCAGUAGAUGCUAAAUAAAAUCAUCCAUUGGCAAGUAACUGAUCAAAAUCAUUAGUUUCUUGUUCAAUAAAAAGAAUUUUUAAAAAAAGUAAAAGAAAGGUGACAAGAUGAAGCACUUCUCACCUCUCCUGGAUCAGUAAGGCCACCUUUGUAGAGAGAAUGAGAAGCAGCUCCACCAGCAGCCAACAUAUCCAUCUCAGUAGUACGUAUCUGAAUCUCCAUCAAAGGUCUCAUUUUUCCUUCUUCACUAACAUCGACUGCCACAUGUAAGCUUCUAUACCCAUUCGUUUUGGGUCUUGCAAUAUAAUCCUUUGUCCUAUCAGGUACUUCUUUCCACACAUUUUGGAUAACUUCAUAGGCCCUAUAGCAAGCCCUAUUUCCCCAUUUGUGCAUGUCCUCACCACAUUUAGGGUUUAAAAUUACCCGUAAACCUAGUAGAUCAUUUACUUCUUCUGGCUUUCGACCAUCCUUCAGUAGCUUCUUCAUUGUGCUGAAACGGCUUUUAAACCGACCUUUAACAGAGAUAUCACCCACCAACUUGUUCAAUUCUUCAUCUGCCUUUAGCAAAUCAAGAAGCUGCUUUCUGUAAAUGUCUAUUAAGGGCUCAUUUUCUGUUUCAUGGUUUCUCAGCCAAGUAUCGAGGUAAAGGUAUGAGAAGGGGAAUAAGUAACGAAAGGAAAGAUCCUCCAUUUCUAGUGAUAAGGUUCCGACUCCCACAGCAUAAGCAAGAGGGGCAUAUAUUUUCAUGACCUCAAGAGAAACUGUUUGUUGGUAGUACUUUGGAAAGUAGUCAAGAUGCCUCAUUGUGUCGAGUUUUAGGGUGAGCUGUAUGAUAACAGCUCGAAUAUCGUAGUAAGUUAGACAAUACCUUCUUAGUGCAGUAGCAUUUUCAUCAUCUAGGAUUUCAAACUUUGAAGGAACGUGUUUCAUUCGCAAGCUCUCGUGCAAUAAAUGAGCGGUGCCUGUUCCAAUCUGGCUUUUCACUUCGUGCAUGGUUAGAGCGCCUGCUUCUAAGGCUUCUCUCAGUACACCGGCUGAAAUAACUUCAGCAUCCAUCUGCAGAUAUGCUUAGUUUGAUCAUUCAAAAGGCACCGAGAAGACAAAGUUGAGUAAAUUCAUGAUCUCUCACACCUUGAACACUUCAAUUUAUAAUUACUUGAUAGAGAAAGGAUAUGAAUACUUCACAUGAAUUGAAACGGUGAACAAACCACUGAUUAUAAAUAGACUCCUACACCAACAACGAGGUGAAUCAAAAAAUACUCGCUGAUCAGCUACCAAAGAACCAAAGAUUCUACAAGCAUUUUAAUCCAUUGUAUUCGCCAAAUAUGUUCUAAUCAGAUACAUAAACUGUGUCACUAGUUUCCACUUCGACCUAUCAACUUUAGUUCUGAUGAUAAGGACACAGUAAUUGGAUCCCAAUUUCAACCCAAAACAAUAAUAUUGCACUAUAAACAACAUCAAAUUUGUGUAAUUCUUCGUGAUAAAUCCAAAAUUAAUAAGAAUACCUGGAGAUCUGCGAGGAGUAAAGCGACCGACAAUGCCCUAGAGAGCCGAGAUCGGCCAUCGAGAGCCAAGGGCAUGGCCUGUAGAAGCGGAAUCGAUAGCUUCAGAGACUUGAAUAGGAGUUGGGAGGAAGACGAAUUGGAAAGCGAACCCAUCCUCUCCGUGAGCUCAUUGAAGGCCCCGACCAACUCCGCCACCAUCCUACCCCCUCUCUGCUCGAUCCCCGUCGCCAUUGGCGAGCUCAAAGGAGGAGUGGAAGAAGAGUGGGUAGUGGGAGUGGUAGUAGCGAGAGGGCGAAGUGGCGGUGACGGGAUCUUGGGGCUGAGGUUACCGCUGCGGGAGGAGGUGGGGGAGGAUUUGGAGUUGAGGAUGGGGCGGAGGAGGAGGAGGAGGUGGCGGUGGUGGUGGUGGGGGGCGGUGGCCAUGGCGGUGGUGGCGGAGUGGGUGGAGAAGGAGAUGCAGUAGUGGUACUGUUUUGCACUUUUACUUGCUACUCGGAAGGAGAGGCCUUUGAUUGGUCGGUUUGUUUGAAGUGUUGGUCGGCUGUGGAUUUGCCACGUCAUUCUGCGUGAUUGAUUAUGUGGCUCGCUGAGCUUAAAUAUAUAAUAUAAUAUUAUUUGUUAUCAAAAAAAAAUUAUUAAAUUGUAAUUUCGAUGUCUUUUUUUUAGUCCUCUUAAUUGAUUGUAAACAUAUUAUUCGCCCUUGUUGAGUAUUAUAAAAUUAGUUAAUAACGAAAAUAUUUUUGAUUUAAUUUACUUUUCUCAUUUUCCCUACAAGCAUUUUUACAUAAUAAUUUGUAUUGUAUUUUUUUUCUUGUCUAUUCAAUCCUUAUUUUAAUCACCACAUUUGCCACCUCCUAGUUGUAAUCGUUUAGUAAAAUUUGAUAACUAAAGAAAGGAUGAGAAUGAAUAGAAAAAUAUUUGGACAAUAGGAUGGGAAACAUUUGAAAAUUUAAUAUUUUUGCCAAUUCUUAUGUUAUAUACUCCAGUAAUUAAUUUGUUAUAGAAGAAAAAUAAUAUAAGAAGUGUGUUUAGUGUAUAUAGUAAUAUUUUUCAAAAAGCUACACAUACUAAGCUUUUAUUUUUUUUUGGCAAUAGUUUUUAUGCUUGCAUUUUUUAAAUAUUGUUUUGUUGGAAAACUCUUUUCAGUUUUUUGAGGUUAAAACUUUCAAAAUAUAUAAGCAUAUUUUAUUAUAAAAAUAGUAUAAACUAAAGUUGCUCGGUCAAAUGAAUGGCAACAGCUCAUAUUGCUAUGGCACCACAUAUCAACUCAAUAAUGCCACCACCUUUCUCUCAAAAAAACUUGGUGUCACCACCAUUUGAUUUCUUAAAACCACCUUAUAAUUGCGAUCAUCACCUUCUCUUUAUUUUUUUUCUUUCACAUAUAGAAACCAUCAUAAAGCUAUGAUUUCUUACAACGUCAUUAACCAUCAUUUUGAUUGGUAAUUUUUUUAUAGUGUUUCAUUAAACACCCUAUGGCAUUAGAAACUAAUAGUUUUUUUAUUGUUUUGACAUAUGAUAAAAUGCUAUAUUUUCAAUUGCCAUAUUCUUUGCUAGCAGUAUGGACACGAAGGAUGCUGCGACCCUCAUUUCUUCUCAUUAUCUCCUAUGCAUUAUUUUUUUUCUUUUGAGAGAUAGGUAGCACGUCAUCCGUUUCAUUUAUUUCAUUUAUAAAUAAACUUAGCUAUAAAUGUGAAUCAACUAGAAUUCAAACUUGGAACCUCGAGUACCAAUCCCAAGCCUUUUGCCACUUGCUUUAGGAACGGUCGGUAUCUCCUAUGCGUUAUUGGCCGAGAAAAAUAUGUUUUUUAACAAAUAUUUUCAGAGAAAAACCAUCAAAAUAAUUAACUAAAACUUUAAAAUUAAUUGAAAAAAUUAUAAAUUAAAUUUUUUUUUGUAAAAAAAAUGCUAAAAUAAAAUAUUUGGGCUUUGUCCUGGGAUCUAUGUAGAGUUCAGCAGCAGCUGAAAAUUUGAGCCGAAUCCGAUCAUUAAAUUCCUGGUCGGACUCGAGCUCGAUCUCGAGUCGCCGACCGUGCAAUGUUACAUAAGGUCUGUCGGUAAGGCUCGGUGGCUUCUACGUAAGUGGACCACAUGCAACUCCACCUGCAGCAACGUUCGAGUCCAUCCCCGCGACGCAGUAGCGUUGGGUCGAGUCGCGACUCGCGACUCGCGAACCCAUUCCCUCGUUUCUCUGCAACACCACCCCAACUCCAUUCGCUUCGAACGCCAUCGGAAUUCGGAAGUCGUAGUCCCUCCUCGCGCUUCGCCUUUCGAUCCCAAACCCCCCGCCCCCUCUCCCUCUCUCUCCCCGAUCUCGCGCGCGCCACCCCUCGCGGCGGCGUUCCCCCUCUCUCCGGCGACCUCCGCCGCCGCAUCGUUACCCCACGGUACCCCUCUUCCGCCUAUCUCCUCCUCCCUCUCCACCAUCUCGUCCAAACCCUAACCCUAGCUCGAGCCCUGUCCCCUGUUGGCACUCGUAUUAGUGUUUGUUUUGCUUCGGUUCGAAUACUAAUCGUGAUAUCCGGAGUCUGGGAUGUUAAUUCACGUUUGGAGCGUUCGCGAACUCGCGUGUUAGGCUCGGGGGUGCUGUUAAUUGGAGUGAAGCUGGGAUAUUGUGAGGAUAUUGGGCAAUUGUUGGAGAUAGACGUUGUUUACUGAUGUGUUUAACGCAUGAUCGACUUAUAAGUGCGUAGAGAGUGCGGGGAAGAGGGUUUUUGAGAGGUAAUUCCACUGAGGCAGUGCUUUAUGGUGAAUUUGGGCUGCAUUGGCUUUUCUCUCGCUCUCACAGGGAUCUAUAGUUAUUGAUUUCGAGUUAUUGGCAGGUUGUAAAUCUAUCUAUCAUGUAUGAAUUGUCACGAGUGAGUUGUCAAAUUUAUACGGUCGCAAGUGUUAUUUCUAACUCAACUACUUGACAUUGCUCACUGCUUCGUGUUCCGUUAUGGAAUCGGUUUAGAAAAAUACUGUUAGCGCUCUUUCUUUAAGGUCGGUUGACAAUAUUUUUGUUAUGAAACAAGGAAUGCCUUGCUGUCUUAUACUGCAAAUGUGACUCUUUUUGUUGCUCUAUUUUGGUAUCAACUUUCAAUACAGAAAAUAGAAAACAAUCAGAAAUAAAUAUUUAUAAACUUCACUGCAGUCGCUCUCUUCUCCUGUCUGCACGUCCUUACUGAUAAUCUUGUUGCACCAUUAAUGGUGGUAAUGGAAAUACAAAAGCUGCAUGUGACUGAGUGAAGUAUCGUCCAUAGCUUUAGCCAUCAUUGCUCGAUUAGUUUUUCUACGUCUUGAAAUCUCGGUUUCUGUUGGCCUGCCAUUCCUGAUUAACAUUUUACCUUUAUUGCAAGUUGGAGAGGGGUAAAACAGUUACACAUGGGCGUGGCCCUGGUUUUUCUUUGUUAGUAAAUGCUGAAGUGGACCCGAUGGGAGGCAUUUUCGAUUGCGGGAUUGGUGUGGACACCAAAACUUCACCACGCCGUGCAGCAAUUGAAAAGGCCCAAGCAGAGUUGAGGUAUGCCAAGAAUCGUAGUGCGACCCAUCAUAGAUAUCUACUGCAAAUAUCUGAUGUCUUUGUAAUAUAUGAAUGACAGGCAAGAAUAUGAUGUACGCGAAGAACGACGGAGGGAGUUGGAAUUUCUUGAGAAAGUAUUAAGCAUAUGGAUCUUUUUUUGGCUUUAGCAAUCUGCUUUCUUUUCUUGAAAGAACUCUUAUAUUCUCAUUUACUCUUAACUUUUCUAGGGAGGCAACCCAUUGGAUUUUAAAUUUGGUCAUGUAGCAUCACUUAGUGUACAGUCAACCUCUGUAACGGAUCAACUGGCCGAGCAAAAUGCAAUAAGGUUUAUAAUUGUUUUUUCAAGCACUCGUAGCUUAGCAAUACCAUCAGUGAUAAAGCUGUUACUGAUAAAGCUGUUAUCUUUUCUUUUUUUUGGCAUUGUUAUUCUAAUUGCAGCGAAGCAAAAGGUAGCUUUGCAUUGGCAGCUUCUCCCCAUGGGGAUUCUGUUGAAAGCAGUGGCAGGCCUGGAAGUUCAAUGGGUCGGGAACCUAACAUUGCUGACAAUCUAUUGCUUUUGGAUGGAGAUAAUAGCAAUCGUGGUGGGGAGAAAAAUGUCAACAAGCGUAGUGGUAAAAGAAGUAAUCUUGCUUUACUAGAGCAAUCUUCACAAAUUGAUGGCGGACAUAAUGCAAAAGAAUCUGAAGACUCUCCUAUUUUCCGGCUUGGGGUAAAGAGUCAAGCAUAUGCUCGAAGGAACAGGUCAAGAUCGAGCAGAGAUAAUGUUGCAGCUGGGAAUAGAUUUUCAGUUAUACCUUCUAGUCGUCAUGAUUUGAAAGUAAAUGCAGAAGAAAAUGCCGUCUCUUCCAUUUCCAACUCAAAACCAGCUAGUCCAAAUGGUAAUGAUGUAACAAAUAGAGAGCUAAAUGGGGAGCAAAUUGGUCAUGACGUUAGUGUUUCGGUAAAAGAAGGAUCCUCCAGGCCAGCGACAGAAGUCAAAACUUCUGAAGCCAAUAAUGAAGAGUCAUGUGGAGUUGCCGAGGCAGUUAAUAAUGCUACAGCUUCUCAAAUAGUCAAUGUGAUUGGAAAAGAAGAAGCAAUUUCAAUUGGGCUUCAUUCUAUCCCUAAUGAAUGUGCUGAAGAAAUGAAGGAUGCUGCAACCGUUGAAAAGAUCAGUUACUCUAAGAUGGACUUGGAUGGCAAUGAUCUGGGUAGUAGAAGUGGUAAACCUGAGGUUACGAAUGAAGCAAAAAGCGUAGAUAACAGAGAAAUAGAUCCUUUUUGUACCAACAAGGCCGGUAGCAUUGAUGUAAAUGAUGAUGGUGAACAUCCAACAUUAGGAAAGAUGCCUACUACUAUGAUUAACAAUAUUUCAAAUGAGAAUGGUUGCUUGAUAAAUGCUGAUGCUCCAGAUAAUAGUAUACAUGAAAAAGUUGGUGACAUGGAGGUCUGUGAUGGUAGAACUGAAGUGCAAAAUGAGAGACAGCUAGUCUUUGAUGAUUGUGAGAAGACAGAUAAUGGAGCUAUAUUAAAACCUGAAGAGAAACCAGAACACUCUACAGGUGCUUGCAGUUUUACUAAGAAGUCUGACGUAGUUCACGGCACCUUAGUUUCUGCCAGAAGUGAUGUGCCCCCUGCUGUUCCUUCAGUGCGAAAUCUAAUAUCUACACCUGAGCUUCAGAAUUCUGGAGCUAACCACUUAAAGACGGCACAGAAAGAGCAUGAGGAUGCUAUUCUUAGAAAGGCUCGGACUAUAGAGGUAAUAAUUUGUUUAUUGUUUUGUGCACUGGAUAUUCGUUUAGCAAAAAGAGACCCUGACAGUUUUACUGAUUAGGCAAACCGCAAGAGGGCUGGCGAGCUGUCCUGUAAUAUUUCUUUAGAUAAGCGACAAAAGUGUCAUUGGGAUUUUGUCCUGGAGGAGAUGGCAUGGAUGGCAAAUGAUUUCAUGCAGGUUUUUUCUUGACAAAGUCUACCAGCUGAAUAUUCUACUUGCAUUUGAUUUAGUGAAUAUGUAUCUGCAAUAUUAAUUUUAGUGCGAACUUUUCUCUAAGUGUUUGAGUUUGGUUUUUUGUAGUUAUUUUAUCACUUAUGCCACAACAGAGUUAUUCUUAUGUAAUUUUUUAAUAACUAUUUGUGUGUUUGUUAUUUUGUAGGAGCGAUUGUGGAAAAAUGCAGCUGCAGUCCAGCUCUGUCGGUGGAUUGCUUCUAGUGGUCGAGCAAAAUUUGAACAAGCGAACCUUCAGCGGAAGCAGAAAACUGUUGCUAGAUUUUUAGCCAAGGCUAUUGUGCAAUUUUGGCAUUCAUCUGAGGCUUUAUGGACUACUAGUGGAGGACCUAAUAAAUUGCAUGAGAGCAGCCUGGAUAUGUUAAAAGGGAAGCUCAUUGAAGCUAAAGCUGAAAAAGAACAGGUCAGAUAAUUGAUAACUGAAUUCUCUUUUUGAUUGCCAGUUUGAAUUGUUGUACAUACUUUCUUUAUCAUUAUCAUUUAUUAUCAUAGACGCCUUUCUUGCCAGAGAAUUUUUCUCCAAUUUUCUGGUCCAUUCUGCACCUCAAAAUAUUUGUAUACAUGCCUAAUUUUUGUUUUCACCAACAUCAUGGAAUUCUUAUUUUCAAUGCUGCUAGAAUGUACUUGAGCCUGUGAGAAUAUAUGAAAAAACGACAUGUUCUAUCUAUUCCUGCAGGAUAGCAUGUAUAAUGAAGUAGAAAAGUCUGGGCCGGUUUCCCGCCUUGCUAUUCACGAUUAUGCAGUUCGGUUCUUGGAGUAUAACAGUACAAUAUCUGAUUGUUCUGUCUUAGCUGAAGCACCUACCACUCCUGAUAGGCUAUAUGAUGUGGGCAUUUUGGAAGUAUCAGAUCAACUUUCAGAAGUAUGGAUAAUUUUUUUCUAUUUAUUUGAAUGAAACCAUUGUUCCUUUAUAUAUGUUCAUUUAUGUUGUUGUUGGUGGCCAUGUUGGAAUUCAUUACCAAGUUCUUUCAUUUGUUUUUCUUUCUUCGGAGCAAAAGAACAUCUGUUUAAUUUGAUUUCCUGCUAUCAUUUUCACCAUAUUAUGCUUUUUCUUUAGGAAAGUCUCUUCUAUGCGGUCACUCCUGGUGCAAUGCAGGCUUACAGAGAAUCUGUGGAGUCUCAAUGGGUACAUUAUAAGGUAUCAACAGUCUUGCAUCUGUACCAACACCUCGAGGAUCAAAAAGAGAUUUGAUAAUUAGUAGUUUUGCUUGAUUGGCCUUAUAGUGAAAAUAGUAAGCCCAAGAAAAUAAAAAUAAGAAGAAAUAUACACCAAAAUAUAACAAUUCAAGAUCAACUACGUUACUCUUUGAUAUUUUCAGUUAUGGUAAUUUAAAAGUUUUGCAUGGAAACUUAGUAACCUGUAUACAACCCUAUGCCUUGUCAAGAAGUCAUGCUUUUCCUUUGUUAAGCCCUUUGAAACGAUUAACUAGUCCAUAUGAUUGCUUUCAUCUUAUUUUUACUCUCCUUUUGUAAUUAUGUGGAUAUGCUGUCCUAUCUGAAGUCUUUGUUUGGUGUUGAUCUUAUAUACCAUGCCCUCUUAUGUAGAGAAUCAAUCGUUUACUUCCAUUGUUACAGAAGUCAGGUAACGUGCAGCAUCAAGAGGACCGGGCUAUGUCCAUGUGUGAUUAUGGUGCAGGUACUUUAGCAGAUAUCAUAUACUCAACUUUCCACUUCUUUAUUUAGCUUGAGAAAACUAAUUCCAACAUAUUUGUUCAGAUGGGGCCCGUGAAAAUGCAUAUGAAGAGGAUGGAGGAGAAAUGUGUGCAAUUUUGUUGCCUGGAACAUGUGAAGGUGGUUUUUCAUCAAAAUUUGUUAAUAAAAAGAGAAAAAACAUGCAACAGAACUCAUAUUCUACAAGAAUAUACGGGGCAGGCACCGACCCAUCUUAUGAUUCUCAGCCUUUAUUAAAUGGUAAAAGGCCUUCAAAUUCCCUUAAUGUGGGCCAUAUUCCAACGAAACGGGUAAGGACGGCUAUUAGAACACGGCUUGUUAGUCCUUUCACUGCAGGACCGGCUGGCAGUGUGCAUGUAAAUAGUAAAACUGAUGUUUCUAGUGGGGACACAAAUUCGUACCAAGAUGACCAGAGUUCGCUGCAGGGGGGAUCUUUGCUUAAGAAAAACAUGGAAGUUGAAUCGACAGUCGAUUUUGAGAGGCAGAUGCCAUAUGAAUGUGUUGAUGCAUCUACAAAAUCUAAAAAGAAGAAGAAAUCUAAGCAUUCAGGAUACAAAACUGUGUUGAAUUUGACUGAUUCUUGUGUUUCAAUGGUGUCAGAAAAGGUAUACUUCUGUCUCUACAGCAUCUUUUUGCUACUUAUUUUCCGAUCAGAUAGUUGAACCCUCUAGAAUUGCAGGCCUCAUCACACGAGCAGAGAUUCCAAAUAGAUACUUUGGCUCAACAUGAGCAGGUAAUUUCUUCCCCCCCCCCCUUGUAUGCGUACCCCCCCCUUUGUGUGCCUAUUUUGAUUUACAAGCUUUAUUGCAUUGAGAAAUCCAAUAUGAGCUGGAAGAAUGCGGCUCAUAAAGCUCAAGUUAUAUGUAUUUUUAUACGUAUGCGUGUAUGCCCUGUUUCUAGUGUUUGUUUUUCUGGAGGUCUAUUAGCACAUGUUUGUUAACGUUUCACAAUCUUUGUCACAUGCUCCUAUACUAUCUUGAUAUUUUCGUCUUUCAUAAUAUUUGAAACCUAGAAGUAUCAUCUUUCAAGGCUAAAAAGUUUAGAGAUAAUUAUCUCUUGGUUAUUCUAGGAUGUCCUUGAACUACUAUCCUAGCCAAAAACUAUGCUCCUAUAAACAACAAGGUUUAUCCUUUAUCCUUUUAGUUAUCUUUAGUAGUCCGUUUGUCCUUUAAUCUAAAAUUGAAGAAUAGAUUUUUUUCCUUUCUCAGUUAUUGUGGGAUAACGAGGAACCCUCUCGACAAGAGUUAAAAUUAUCAUCACAGAACUUACUGGUUGUAUCAGGAUCAUGUGAAAACAAAAGAAAGUUAUCUGUAAUGUAGCUCCAGGUCAUCGUAGAAUAACCAAGUUUAACUGGAAUAACUCUCCCUAAGCUUUUUUUGUUCCAUUUUGGCAGAAUGAUAGUAAGUAAUCCUAUCAGUAGGUUUUGCUGGUUAUCUUUUUUAGUCUGUUUGUUAUUUAUUUUUUGCUUCAUGUUGCAGAAGGAUCACAUGAAAAAGAGAUUGGAGAGCCAGAAUUUUGAACCAAAUGGAAACAACGGUAAUCUCUUCUAGCCUUUUGCUUUGUCUUCUUAUCUUCUUAUAUCUGCAUUUAAUUUGAGUUUUUCGCGACCUUUCAUUUUUUAUUGUUGGCAAUUCACAGUUCUUUUUGGGCAACAUACUGCUAAGAAACCUAAGCUAUUGAAGCAAGUGCCAGAUACUCUGCAAGAAACUCUUACCCCAGUCAGUGGGUCAAUGCCUUCUCCAGUUGCAUCGCAGAUGAGUAACAUGCCCAAUCCAAAUAAGCUUAUUAAAAUGGUUGCCAAUAGGGAUCGUGGAAGAAAGGGUAAAGCCUUGAAGGUGAGAGAUUGCAACAUUUGUUGGGAUAUAUAAUAUAUGCUUGUUCUUUGUACAAUUGGACUCCUGAUUUGGUCAACUCUAAAAAGUAUUCGAAAUAGUUUUUUUUUUUUUCCUUUUCCUUUUGUCGGUGUGGAAUCUGUUCGUUACUUGAUAAUUGUGGUUCUUUGACCUCUUGAAUGAUAAUGGACACUUUUUUUUUGUCGAAAGUAUUCAAUCAGUAUAGUGGAGGCCCCAAAAGUACUAUAUUACAAUAAUAAGCUGAUUGACAACAUAAAGAACAAUAUGUAGAGUAAGAACUGUAUGAUAGUGAUAGACAUUGAGUGACAUGAGAAAACAAAUAACUCAAUAAUCUCUGUGAUUUCUCAUAAAUAAAGCCAGAAAUGGAAUGGUUUACACGAAGUCAGCUUUCUUAUCAUCUAAUGUUUUUGUUUUCUCCAAUUUUGCAGAUGGCUGCUGGUCCCUCUGGGUGUGGGAGUCCGUGGUCAAACUUUGAGGAUCAGGUUUCUAUGCCUUUUCAAAGUCUAAUGUCAUUUGCGCAUUACUUCGGUUAAUUUCUCUGUUAUUGAAAUAUUUCAUCAAUUCAUACUAGGCUCUUGUUGUCCUUGUUCAUGAUAUGGGUCCAAACUGGGAGCUUGUGAGUGAUGCGAUCAACAGCACCCUUCAGUUCAAGGUUACGUAACUUUAAUUUAUUAAUGCUUUUGCUGCAAUUUUGUAGGAGUUCAAGUUUGGCAUGCCUCAUUAACUUUAGUUGCUUUUGAAUGUUUCUUUUCUUUAACAUGAUUUUCUUUUAGAGAUUUCUUUUUUCAAUAGAAGAGAAUAUUGGUGGUUUGUUGAUUCCACUUUUGAAACCAUGCUUCGUCUUGCCCGAGUUCAUUGUUUAUUAAACUACUUAGUUGUUUUACUUUUGACUCAUAUCAUAUGGCUCAGAGAUUGAUUUCUAUUCUACACUGCAGUGCAUAUAUAGGAAACCUAAAGAAUGUAAGGAGCGCCAUAAAUUUUUAAUGGAUAGAAGUGCUGGUGAUGGUGCUGACAGUGCAGAAGAUUCUGGCUCAUCUCAACCUUACCCAUCAACUUUACCUGGCAUUCCGAAGGCAUGACAAUCCCUUUGCCGUCUAUUGGGACUUACUUUACGUGUUCUAACUUAAUUGGCCACCAAAAGGCCUAUUUGGUUCUGCUGGAGCAUGUGCAGAAGUGCUUUUUUAGUAGAAUUGCUUGAAGAAGCACCAACAGCAUUCUCAUCGAAAUGUCUUUAACUGCUUCUUUCAACUUCCUGCCACAACAUAAGGCUGACUGCCACUUGUUGGAAUAAAGAAGUUGUUCUAGACGCUCCGGCACUAAGAACCAAGCAUAAAGGCCUAAACGCAGUAAAUUUUUCUGCGUUGUCUACAACACCUGAAAGGCCCAUGCACAAUAAGCUAUCAUUUUUAGAAACUUACAUGUUUCCCAGGAAAGUGUGGCUUUCAUAGAUCAUUAAGUUUUCUUGUACUACUUGAUGUUUCACAAAUAGGUUUAGAAAACUUGUUAAAUCUUGUAUAUUGGCCUUUUAGGUGUUGAUCAUAUUCCAUAAUAUAGAUUUCAAUUUAGGCCUCACCCUUGAUUCUCACACUUUGUGUAAAAAGUGUGCAAGUUACACUAGUGUCAAUGGAUCCUUACGUAUAUGCAUAAACACAUAGUACAUACGAGGCUCAUGGAUCAGAUUUGUGUUGUAUUAAAUAUUGAAUCUUUCUUCAAUUUGUUGGUACACCAGGGUAGUGCCAGACAGUUGUUCCAGCGCCUUCAAGGACCACUUGAAGAAGAUACUCUCAAGGCACAUUUUGAAAAAAUUAUUUUGCUUGGACAUCAACUUCGUCCAUGUCGUAGUCAGGUAUGUUUUCUGGUUUUAUUACUCCUAAAAUUUGAACAUACAUGAUGCAUAUAUGUUUAAGAGAAUAUAUGUGCAUAGAAUCAUUUAGAGGAUGUAUUACGAACAAAAUUAGUUUUUCUACUGUGAUUGCAUAACAAUAGGAAAAUCAGAAUUGCCUUGCUAUUCUAGAAAGCAACUCCUUUUUCGACCCUGAAGCUAUCACUUAUUAGGGAGCAUUGGUUUGCAUCUUUACUGACAUCUAUUAACCAAUAACUUCUUAGUUGGGCUUUACUUAUCCUCUUAUGUUUCUGCCCUUAUCUCCUUCUGCAUCUCUUUAUAAAAUUGAAUUAUGUUUGUCUGAUGAUAUUUUUUUUUAAAAAAAAUUGCUAAUGGUUAUGAUUUGGCUUUUCUGUGAAGAAUGAAGGCCGAGAACUAAAGCAGAUAACUCCUGCUCACACUUCUCAUGUUGUUGCUCUUUCUCAAGUUUGCCCAAAUAACCUAGGUGGAGGUGUUUUGACGUAAGUUCUAUUAGGUGUGCUACAUCCUCUUGCAUUUUAAUUUCCGUGAUGUAAUCAUUUUUCCUUUUUUUUUUGGGUGCGGGGAUGUCUACUACAGGCCACUUGAUCUUUGUGAAGUGAUCAAUUCUAGCCAAGAUGUUUUUCCCAUUGGUUACCAAGGGCCUCAUACAAAUGGCUCAGCAAUAUCAAGUCAUCAAGGUUCUAUGGCUCCUAUUCUUCCUCCACCAAAUGUGAAUUGCAUGUUACAAGGUUCUCCUGGUAUGGUCGUAGGCAGCAACAUGCCAUCGCCUCCUGCACCAUUGAGUGCCCCUACUAGGUACACAACCUUCGAUAAUUUAUUUUACUUUAGAGAUAUUUACAUAUAUAUCCUUGGAAAUUUAUUUACCUACAGACAUAGAAUCAUUGUGUACGAAGUCUGAAUUUUUAUAUAUGUCCUUAAAAAAUUAAUUUAUUACUCCUAUACCCUUGUGCUUACAAAUGUUCUACUGUUCAGAAAUUUGAAAUAUAGAACCAACUGCUCCCACCCCUCACAACAUCUGGAGAAGUCUCCAGCUUAAUUGAUCAGUGUUUGCAUACGAAAUUCCACUUUUGAGGUGUUUAUGUGAAAAUUCAGAUUUAGCAAGAGUGUCCAUGUAAAUUAAUGAUUUUGUACAUGCAUACAUACAAACACACACACACCCAUACAUACAUGCAUGUAAAAUCCCUUUUCUUGCAUUUGCAUUUUUCAAAAUAAUUUUUGUAAAAAAUCACUUUUCUCUAUGGCCAAUAUAUUUUCCAAAAUUGUUCUUGUAGAGAUGCCCAGAGAUACGGUUUGCCUAGACCAACUUCUCUACCGCUUGACGAGCACCAGAGAAUGCAGCAAUACGGCCAUAUGUUUUCUGGCAGAAAUCUUCAGCAAUCUAGCAGUAUAUCUGUGCCAGGGGCUGCGUUACCUGUGGGAGUUGAUCGCGGUGGGGUCUGCACGCUACCAGCUGGUAACGGCAUGGGAAUGAUGCGUGGACUAAACAGAGGGGUUCCUAUGCCAAGGCCGGGAUUUCAAGGGAUUAGUCCUCCGGCUAUGAUGAAUAUGGUCUCAACAGGAAACAUGCUACCAAGCAAUGGGCAUGGAAUGCAGAGCUCGGUCAAUGUUCAGCGAAAUGCUACUGUUGCUGGUGCAGGAAAUUCAAUGUUGCGGCCGCGUGAAUCUUUGCAGAUGCUGCGGGUGAGUUUUUCAAUUCCAUAUUUCAGCAUCACUGCUUGAAUCAUUGUACAUUGGGAAUUUACAUUUAGGUCCUGUCAUUUUCGAAAAGGUUCAAGAACUAUUGUUCUAUUGAUCCCUUCACUUCAAGAUUUUUCCUUAUGACAGUUAAGUUUUUUUUUUUUUUUUUCAUUACAACUUGACUCAACUGAAAUUCACAUAUACAAAAUAAUGGAAUUUACUAUUGCUAACUUUCGUCCCUAUUUUCCUGUAUAUGAAUUUUAGAAGGGGAAAACUGUAAUAAAGGGAAAAUAAUUACGAUUGCCAGCAGAGUGCUCCUAAGAUUUAAGGAAAGAUGCUCAGUAGGGCCUUUUAUGAAAGAAUCCUUUUUCCUUCAUUUCUGUGGGUGAAAAGGAACUCCCAAAAUUUAUUAAAGAAAAUCAUAAACCUAAAAGGACUUAUGAAAGAAAAUCAAGAAAUUAUCUAAUUAGUCAGAUACACGAUUACAAAUUACCUUCUUAUUAUUUGUUGCUCUUUUAAAUUUAUUAAUGUUGCUGACAAAUCAUCUGUUUUUUUUCUCUGGAUUGUGGUUUGUCAAUUGUGAUUACGAGUAUCAAGAAAAUAUAUUUUCGUUAUAUAUUUCUCUAAUGUUAGAAUUUUCCAUUUCUGUAGCCUGGUCAGAACCUCACCGACCAAAGGCAAAUGAUGCAAGAACUCCAGAUUCAAGUUUCACAAGGGAAUGUACAAUCUUACCCUCCUUUCAAUGGUAUCAGUGGACCGUUUUCUAAUCCAGCAGCUUCUUCACCUGUUCAGUCAUUUCCUGUUCAACCACCCCAACCAGCGCCUCCGAUGCCGCAACAGCCCCACAUGCUUGGAAACCCUAACCACCCUCACAUCCAUGGGCUGAACCACGCAGGAUCACAACAGCAGCAGGCUUAUGCUAUCCGCUUUCCAAAAGAGCGGCAGAUCCAGCAAGGAAUGAUGGCACAAAGUUCACAACACCCUUUUCCAGUGCCCAGUGGGCCCAAUGGCAUGCCACCCAUCCAAAACAGCCAGCAGACCCAGCCAUCUCCUGUUCCUCCGGUUCCUUCUUCUUCUCAAGCAUCGCAUAAGCAACAGCGGAACCCACAAGCUAGCAAUGGAACGCCUAGUCAGGUAAUGAAGCAAAGGCAAAGACAACAGGCUCAACCUCAACAGCAGCAGCAACAACAGCACCAGCAAAGACAAAGCCAGCAAGAAAGGCAACAAUCUCAACAGCAGGCUAAGCUAAUGAAGGGAAUUGGUAGAGGGAGCUUGCUGAUGCACCAAAAUUUGACGGUUGAUCCGUCUUUAGUCGGCAGCGGCAUCUCAACAGCGAACCCCAAAAACCAGGUUUCUGACAACAAAAAUCUGAUGCAACAGUCAGCCCAGGGUUUCUAUACUGGUGGUGCGGGUUUAAACCCAUCAUUGCCUCCUCAAAUAGGAAACCAAUCUAAAAUAUACUCUAGUUCAAUGCCGUCUCAAUCAUCAAAACAGAUCCCACAAAUGCCUUCUCAUUCCGAUAAUGGUAAUCAAGGAUCGAAGCAGGGUUCUCCUGUUCCUUCUUCAUUGCCACUGUCUCAGCAGCAGCAGCAAUGCCAUGUGAAUCCGUCUCAACAAAACACUCAAAGAGUGAUGAUUCAGCAGAAGCAGCGUCUAAUGAAUUCUGAUGAAGUUCAGCCUAAUCAGUUGAUUCCGGCUACACAAGUUCCUAAUAGUACAGAUUCAGGAAGUUCUCCUGUGGCUUCAUCAUUAACACAGUGGAAGCAAGAGCCGGCGUCAUAUGAUACAAAUGCAAUUAAUUCGGCAGUUCAAUCCGCUAGUUCACCACAGGAGAAUAUACUGGGGAAUGAAGGGUUAGUGCCAUCUUCUUCUGGACAGGUUCCAAUACAGAGGCAAAUUUCAGGUGUCUCGAUGCAUAACGUUGGGAGUCAGUGGCAGCAGCCGCUGCAGCAGCAGCAAUCUCAGCAGCUGUUGCAGCAGCAACAGCAACAGCAACAGCCUCAGCAUCAUAACCGAACAGUGGUGCAAAGCAAUAUUUAUGCGCAACCUUCAAAUUCAGGACCUGGAUGAUAGAAGUAGUGUUGGAUUGAUCAUGUACUUUGAAGUUGCUCCCACUUCUCUUGUAAAAUUAGUGUACAGGUAGCUGUUGCCCCUGCUCUCAUAUUCUUUUGUUGAGCAAAGAAAGUUGAUUGUUUAAUGUUUCUUGCAUCCAUGAUAAGGAAAAAAGGGUUCAGGGUUCAGUUAUCAAGUUUGACUUCCUCCAGACUGAACCAUCCCAGAAUUUAGCGCCCAUAAAUUUAUCAAUAAGCUUUUUGUAACUCGUAAAUCAUGAACAUGUUGGUUCUUUUAGGUUACCUUUGUUGCUCUCGGUUUGUGUGUACUUCGAAUUAUAAGAGCCAUUUGAUUGAACAACUUGCCGAUCAAUUUAUUAAAAUGCGAUGACUGUGCAUGUACAGAAUGUUUCAUCAUUGAGGUCACUUCAUUUUUUUAGUUAGAAGUUAACUUCUCUGUUUGAUCAUCUGCAUGUGAGAAUGGAAGAAUGGUCUUUAGAGAGAAAAUGUUAAAUGUGAUCUUCGAAAAUAAGUUAUUGAAGAGCUAAGAUUUCUAUUUAUCUAUCCAGAUUGUUUUUAUUUUUUCUUGUUCUCUUUAUUUGGCAAAGUAGGAAAGAAUGCGGAGCUAACGAUCAAUAGAAUGGUCUGUGGUCAAAUCAUGAGAUUAUUGAGUUCUUAAGUAAGGAUGGUUUUAAGUUUCAUGAACUGUGCUCCUUAAUUAUUUGCACAAGCUUCUUUUCUUUGCUGAGUUUUACUUUUUCCUCACUUUGUGAUAUAGGUCUUCAGGCUGUGAAAGCUGCGGAAUUCUAUUAUGCUCCUUCAUUCCCAACUUGAGCUUAUCCCACUUAUUUCAAGGCCAGGUACAAUAUUUCAUCCUUGCCUCAUCUACUGUUGGCUUUGCCCUCACCAGACGGCAGGAGUUGCACCGCUAUUGUAAUGAUUAAUUCUUUCUUUCUUUUUUUUUUUUCUUUUUUUUUUUUUUUUUUUCUGGGUAGUUGAACUGUACCCUAAUUGGGCCUAUGUAGUAUAUUUUUGCCCCACGAUAUUUAUGUUAUAUUAGAUGUUGGCAAAUGUUGUGCAGUUAAUCAUCCCUUGUCGGCAAUAUCUUGCUGAUUAAAAUUUGUAUAGAUUAGUAUGUACUAUAACAAGUUAGUGAACUUGAAAUCCCUUCUCGCAAACUUCUUCAUUAUCAUCACCUUGUAUCCGUCAAAUUGGGAGUUUGAAUUCUGUUGACAGAGCCUCUGGGUUCAUCAUACUAGGACACAAUAAGGGAACAAUUUCAUGACCUAUAGUUGCUCUCAUUUUUUUUUUUUUUUAUUUUGUUUCUCUUCUGUAACUUUGUCACAAGCUGCAGAUUAUAUGUAUAUAUGUGGCGCUUCAGAAUGGUGAAGGCAGUGAGAAGGGUAGUGCAUAGAUUUGGUAGUACAUGAUGCCUCAGUAAUAUUAUGCUUAAAUAGCUUGAUUACGUUACUGUUGUUUUGCAUGUUUUCUGGCAUAUAUUUUCUUACGGGAAGCCAUAUUAGCAACUGUUGAACAUUUUAUAAUGCAAGGUAAAAUCUUUAUGGUUAACCUUGUUUAUAGUGUGCGCUACAGUGUCAAAUAUUCGAAUGUAUAAAACAAUGGUUAUUACAUUAUUGAAUAGUUGAGGUGAAUGCGAGCAAUUUACUUGAUGGUUCAUUUUAUUAUACUGUUUUCAACGUAAAUUAUACUUGCAGUUUAAAGAACAUAUCUUUAUUUUCCCGUGUGCUGGCAAUUGGAAAGUUUAACUUUAGUAAUCAGUAUGGCUUCUCCUUUUCUUUUUUUAUUUAUGAUAAUUUGUUUUUUUUAUUGCUGAAUAUUUGAAUAACAAGCUCCACGAGAAGAUUGUUUCAUUUGAUUAAUUUGUUGCGUUUCAUUGUCAUCUCUGAUAAGUGGACUUACCCGCUCAGUCUUGUUUGCGCCGUAUCUUAUUCGCAGGAGUUAGAUAUGAAAUGAUUAGUUAGUCUUCGCUCUGCUCGGCGUGUUGACUUUUGGCUUAAUUGUGCAGCAUUAAAUUCCCUGUUACGUUUACUACUAUGUGAGAAGUAGCGAACGCCAGAAAAAACCAAUGGUACAUGGCUUGCAAAUUAAUGUAACUUGUAUUAUUAUUGUUAACCCUAGCACCUUCCUUUCUUCGGCACUAUUUUGUAAAAUAUAGCUUGUAUUAUUAUUAUUACUAUUUAUAAACUCAGCACCUUUCUUUCUUAGGCACUAUUUUGUAAAACUAUACACUAGGAAUCCUGAUCCUAAUGGUUCACAAUGCGGGAACUCUCUCUCUCUCUCUCUCUCUCUCUCUCUCUCUCUGCACCCUAAAUGGUGCAAUACAAACCACAUCACAAAGAUCCGAGAAGCGUUUCGUCAUCGGAGCUGCAGAGCUCUGGCGUUGGAGGCUGCGUCACCAAAAUCUGUUGAUCCUUGCAAACACCGAGAUCCUCCGAUUGAUCCUUGCAAACACCGAGAUCCUCCGAAAGCUUCUUGCACAGCUGAAAAAGGAGAUACAUCACCAAAAAUGUUUAUACUCCAUCCAUCCAUCUUUCGUCAAAUUCAAUUAACUCUGUAGAGUUAUAAAAUACUGUCGUUACCUUCCUAUACAAGCAAGAAUCUCCAGAUGAUUUCCUCAGUUCCACAACAUAUAGAGAGGGACUGAGCUCAAACACCUGAUACCAAAAACAAUAUCUUAAGCUAGGGGCGGGAAAGCUAUCUACUACAACUAAGCAUUGAAGAAAUAGAUUUAGGAACUUACUUGAGCAGCAACUAGGAGUAAGCCGGGGCUCUUUGGGCUCAAUGAGCUCUUUUGCAGUUGCAUCACCUUAAGCUGAAAAGAUCGUACCAAGUAGAUAGUUUCAGUGAUUAGAUAGUUGCAUCACUUAAUUAAGAUAGUUUCAGCGAUAAAGAUACUUGGUCUUUCUCUACGGUGAAGGGAGGAAAAUAACAAACCAAAAAAGCAAUUCGUACUAACUUUGCCAUUUCCUCUCUGAACUUGGAAACCCAUCUCGGUGACAAUGUCCUCGAUCUUCUGAUAUAGAUCAUUCGGCGGAUGGUUUGAUGUGAACCUAAUCUUCCUUUCGGAGACAUGCUGAAAUAAACAGAUUUAGUUUUUCAUGAGUGUGUUUUUAAUAUAGAUGGUAAUGAAAGAGUGAAGAUAUCAGCCAACCUCUUUCUCAAAUAAACCAGAGAGAUCGAGAGCCGAGGACAUUCCGAUCAGCUGAAAAGCAUUUAUGUGAGUUGGUUUUCCAUGGCCGCACUCCUCAUUGUGCUUCAAGAAACACAGGAAGAAAAAAAAUUAAUUUCUUUCAGUUCGAACAUGCCCUAAUGGAGAAAACAAAGUAAGAUGCAGCAGAGGUAUCUUAAAAUGCCAUCGAAAUUUCAACUACCUCUUUGAUUGAAAGGGCUAAACUGUGAGCUCCAUCGUCGUCGUCGUCAUCAUCAUUAGGAACAACAGGAAUAUAAUCCUGCUUAAACCAUUCGUCAGCUUUGAUACCGGCCAUGUUUAUCCUAGCUACCGGGUUCGGGUCUAGAAUUCUCUUCAAAAGGUUUCGAGCAGCCGGAGAAAGCCAUUUAGGGAUCUGGACAUCACCUUUGAAAAUCUAAAACCACCAAUAAACAUCGCAUUACAAACGAAUCACCACCAAGAUAUUCGAACCAACCCAAACUUCUAUCCCAUCUUUCCAAGUACCUUUUGAUAAAGUACAGCUAUAUUGCGGUCGUCGAAAGGGAGAUAUCCAGUAAGGAUAACAUAUAGGAUAACGCCACAGGACCAGACGUCCGACCUGGAGCCAUCAUAACCUCUGUUUGCAAGCACCUGUAUUGAGUUUUGUAAUAAAUUUCCGUAAUAGGAUCUUGGAAACAUAAUCAUCAAUAAUUCUUAUUUGAGUCGUAGAGAAAGAGCACAAACAUUCUUACCUCAGGCGCAAUGUAAUUGGGGCUGCCGCACGUUGUGUGCAGUAAUCCAUCAGUCUAGACAUAAAUGAAGGUGAUUAUUAACUUAUUAUCCUACAACUAGGGGAAACUAAGAAUUGCUCUUUUUUUUAAAAAAAAAAAAUUAAACUGCGGGAUGAACUAAUAAUCACAUACCCCAAGCUGCUGGGGCAAAGCACUGAGACCAAAAUCCGAUAUCUUUAUGUUGCCUUUUGCAUCCACAAGAACAUUUUCUGGCUGUAACAAAUACAAGAAGAAUAAGCUGUCAAAGAGAAAUCAAUUAAUCCCAGUUAACAACCCGUCUUAUAUAUGAUACAAUAAAGGCCACCUUAUUCAUCGUAAGUAUGAUCUGUAAUAUUUUAUUACCUUCAAGUCCCUGUGGUAGACUCCCUUGUCAUGGCAAUAGCUCACACCAUCAAUUAGCUGCUGAAAAAGCCUCCGCCCUUCUCGUUCGGAAAGUUUACCCUUUAAUGCCUUCAAUAAUAAUAUUUACAAGUGGUGUAAGAAAUUCCCAUUUCCCUUCAUGGAAUAUGACACAGCUAUCUUUAUUUUUGUGGGGACCGGAAUCCGAAUGCUUACAAUUUUGUCGAACAGUUCGCCUCCAUUUACGUACUCGAGGACCAUGUAGAUCUUAGUUUUGCUUGCGGAUACCUAGAUAAAAAAAAAAAAUAAAUAUGUUAUAUAAAAUCAAAAAUUCACACAAAAAAACAUCAACCCAAGCUCAUAGUAGACUAAUCAAUUUCAAUUAGAAGCUCCUACUCAAUUAAUUGCAACUGCUCCAAAUCCAAUCCAAUGAUGAUGGUAGUGCACGAAAAGAAUGGUCAUUUUUUAGCCGAUGAAAAACUUUGGACAAAAUUUUAUUUUGUGGGUACUAGGGAACAGGUAGAUGAGAUGGCCAGAGGGAACAUCCACAUGACAGAGAGAGAAGAAGCGAGGUUGGAGUCGAUCUGGUUCACAUGGCUGGGGCCCACCAGGCAAAAGGAGGCGUUAUUUUUCAAACGGGCCCCACCAAUCAUUGAAGGGGCGAAACCCGAUUCCUGUUGGUGGUCCGAGGUGUUUGAUGGUUGGAGCUCUUUACGGAAUACGAUCACGUGGACCAGCGCUUUUACAUGUGGACGGCCGUGAUUAGCUCGCCAUUUUCCAUCUAAUCCGUCCGGAAAGUAGAGGGGAGGCAACACGGGAUCGGCGUCCCGGCAUGUUGCAUGCAGCGGGCCCCACCCUCACGCGGCCAACCAGCGUAGCCAAAAGCCCGUGGGCCCCACGCAAAUCAGUCACGACUUCGACGUGCGGCGCCGAAACGGAAACGGAAACGGAAACGGAAACGGAAAAAGAAACGGAGAACCAGUUCACUAUAUAUUAUAUUAAACUGUUCAAAUUCUUAAUUUAGGUUAAAUAGUUCUCCUUUUUUGGGGGGGCCUAGCGUCAAUUUUUGUUGGUAUUCAGGUGGACACUGUAAUUUAGCAGAUAUAAGGACAUAUUUGGCUUUACCAUAAUAGCGCGUAUUGUUAUUCGAGUAGUUACUAUAAGGAUAAGCACCGUAUGUGAUAAAGCUUAAUUAACACUACUUUUUCUAGAAGCAUAAAAUAGAAGGCCUAAAUUGAGCUAGUUGGAGCUUCCAAAAUCAUGUUUCUAUAUUAUAUAUUAUAUAUAUUUCUUAGCUUCUAACCGUAAAACACGCAUUAAGUAUGACUAUGGUUGAAACCGAAGCAGAAGCAAGGUGAAAUAGCCGCAAGUUUCUGAGGUCUCAUCAUAGUGGUCACGCAUCGAACAAAACAUUAAACAUCACAAAAAAAAGAAGAAGAAGAAGAAGAAGCUAGAUUACGCAAAUAUACAUCAAAUUAAAGAGGGGAUUUAAAAUGAACUAAUUAAACAACAAUAAGAAGAAGAUUAACGGAGAUAAGAACGGACCUCAUGUAACCGUACGACGUUGGGAUGCUUGAGAAGCUUCAACGUCCCGAUCUCCCUCUUUAUCUAAAACAAAUCAAAAAAAGAAAAUCCCCAAAACCUACUCCGUUAAUCCCUUCUCUUCUUCCUUCCCGCUCGGAGAAUUUGAAUCGAACCAAGUAAGGGCGUAGAAAAGAUCGAAUCGAAGUAGAGUGGUACCUGAUCGUCGAUCUUCAGGGAGAGGAUCCGCUUCCGAUCGAGGAUCUUAACGGCGUAGGGUUGCCCCGUCUCCGUGUGCUGAGCGUACUUCACCUUCGCGAAGUUCCCCUCCCCGAGCGUCCUCCCGAUCUCAUACUUCCCCAGCCUCGUCCCUCUCCUCUCCUCCUCCCCUUCUCUCACCAUUAACGCACCUUCCUCGGCUCCGAUCGCUUCGAUCCGAUCCGAUCCGAUCUCCCCCUUCGUCUCCCUCUACUCCUCGCUCGAAGCUUCCGAUUCCUCAAUGGCGAUCGAUCGAUCGAGAGAGGCGAAGCUCCGCCGAAUCGCUUCGGAGUCGCCUCAGACGCGACGAGGAGAAGUGUGUAGAAGAUAGCUGCGGCCCGACUCGGUGGGAUCGUCUUCGACUCGGGUGUGGUGGUGGGGAGAGAGGGAACCAAAAGAAAGAGGGAGAAUCGUCUUCGACUCGGGUGUGGUGGUGGGGAGAGAGGUGUACUACGGGUUUGGUGUUGGGGCUAGCGGAACGAAGAGGUACAUACAUUAAAAAAUAAUAAAAUAAAAAAAUAAAAUAAAAUAAAAUAACCGUCACCGCAGCGUUCGCUCGGGGAAACGUUACGGCCUCGCCAGCUAGGGAGAGCCACGUGGACCAAUGGGAAGAUUCACAACCCCUGCGGGCCCCGCACUAGGAGGUGACCGGAUCCCCGGGAUUUUAGAUUCCCCGCUCUAGCUACCAGUUUUAUGCGUGCACAAAAGCGGUAUCUUGUUCGCACUAAUCUCGGAGCCGAUAUUUACCAAAAUACCCUUUAGGAUUAUAGUGGACUUUUUAGCAAUAAUAUGAUCUUAGGAAAGCGUUAAUUUCGGCAAUUAAAAAAAAUCCGGGGGAUUUAAUACCUUUCUUUCCGGAAUAAGGAUGGGGCAAUAACUAAUAACUUUAUUCGGAUCGGAAUAAGUCGGGGCCUGGGGACAAAUUGGCUCCACAACAAAUUAAAACGGCUUUGUUAAUGAUAUAUACACUUGCGUAAUACGAAGAGUGUUAAAUAUAAAAAUGUUUAAAUAUCGUUCUCUAACAGCUUAAGUUUUUAGAGUACAACGGUUGUUUCACAUGGUAUCAGAGCAGGAGGUUCUGAGUUCGAGUCACGCCAGGCUUCUAGCAUAUCAAUUUUCCCCCAUUUAAUUCAAGCCCACGUCAUGAGCCGAUUAAAAAGUCUCGAGCCCAGACCGUUCUCUAAUAGGUUAAGCUUUUAGAGUACAACGGUUGUUUCACAAAGAGCCAAAAUGAGGAACGCAAGGGAUAAGAACUGCCGAUGCUUUUUCGGUAUUGGAAAAGAACGUUUUUCUCAAUUAGUUAAUUCACAAUUAGAAUAGAUGUUGAGUGCUAUUCACUGCAUGCCUAUAUAUGCAUAUGUUCCCCAAUGUUUAAAACAUGAGAAUUGAUAUAUUUUGGGUAAUUUUUAAUAUUGCCAAAGCAAAUUAAUAUAUAUGUUGUAUCCAAUUAUGAUCCGAAUCUCUUUACUUUGAUAAUAGUAGAAUUUACUCUGAAUAUAUUAAAUUUCUUAAAAUAUUGGGACUUUUACGUUUGAGAUUUGCAUGUUUGGUGUUAUUUUUUCAUAAUUAUGACUAUAUGCUAAUGACGCAACAAUCUGGGUGUACCAGUACUUAAAUUUUUUUUUUUUUUUUUGGUAAACUUCAAAUAUCAUCUCUGUGGUUUCACAUUUUUUGGUUUAAAGUGUAUUAAUUUAGUAUCCUGUGAUUUUAUUUUUCUUUUUUCAUCAGCUCAUCUGUUAACUUUUCGUUAAAUCAUAUACAAAAAUUUCAGAUACCCAUCUAUAGUUUAUCGAAUAUUUACUUUAGUACCUUUUAGUUUUAACUUUGUCACUGAUUUAAUAAAAAAAAUUAGUUAAAGGAAUAACAAAAAGAAAAAAUAAUAAAACCAGAGGGUACGAAAUUGAUACACUUUAAACCACAGGUAUUAAAGUAAGAAAAUACAAAACGACGAGGGUGGUAUUUGAAGUUUUUUCUUUUUUUAUUAAUUAAUGCCAACUGGCAACUAGUUGUAGAUGAUAUAAAAAUAUUGUACAAUUAUGAAGUUAUUUAAGCCAUUUGAAAGAGGCGUACGACCUCUAUUGAAUUAUUAGGUUCCGUACGCUUGUAAGUUUCCAAUCUACUGCUUCUACUCCACCGUUCAAAUGUCUAUGAUGAGAUAAACUUUUCAUCCAAGUUCGAUAUGAUAGAAAUUUCGUCUAGCUCUUUAUGUUGAUAAUAAAUUAAACUACAUCAGAUGAUUAUUUGAAGGUAAUUAAUAACUAGCUAGUCAAAUAACUUAAGUUGCUUGUGUCAUGAAAAGAAAAUGAAAAGCAACGCGUGAGACAUUUCUCUCUAAAAACUUUAAGUUAAUUAGUUGGUAGGGAGUUCUAAUAUGUUAUAUUUGGAAUUGCAAAAUUGUAGAAACAGAAAUGGAGGAGAUUUAGAGAUUAUUUGACCUACACCGUGAAUUUUCUCUUUUUACAUAGUGAAGAUAAAGAAAAACAUCUUAAUUUAUGAAGGCCUGUUUGGUUUGGAUAUAAGUGAGGAAAUAAGCCUUUAUUCUUUUAUAUAUAUCCAGACAAAAGGGUGAAACUCUUGUUCCCUCCUUAAUGGAUUUUUUUUGGACAUUAAGGGUUGGAAACAAUUGUUCCAUCCCCAUUAAGUUUUUUGAGAGAUAGAUAGCACGCUAUCCGCUUCGUUUAUUUCAUUUAGAAAUAAACUUAGCCGGAAAUGUGAAUCAACUAGGAUUCGAACUUGGAACCUCAGAUACCAACCACCAAGCCCUUUGCCACUUGCUCUAGGGACAGUCGGUUCCACCCCCAUUAAGUUGUUUUGCAUAAUUAAUUAAUUAACUUAUUAAAUUUUAUUCAAUUCAUAUUUUGAUAUUAAUUAACUAGGUAAAGUAUUUUAAAUUUAUAACUACACUUGUUUCUACUGUUUUAUUUUAACAACUCAAACACGUUUUUUUUUAAAUUUCUGAAAAUGACUUAAUUCUCAUUUAAAUAUAAAGCUUGCCUAGUUUCCGUUUAUAUCAUAAAUUAUACGUGUAUAUAUAUAUAUAAUGGAUAAAUGAUGACAACUUAUUCUCGAGGAUAUAUGCCAAAAAAGGCAUAUAUUAAUUGGAGCUAGGUUAUACGGCCACUAAUUUCUCUUCUCUCGUGAAUGGUCACAGAGCAUUGCAAUAUUAGAAAAAUAGCUAGUAAAACACAAGAAGUAACGCUGGUAAAUUUGUUGCAUUUCAAUUUUCCAUAAAACAAAAUAAACAAAGUCAAAGGAAUCACAUGCAGUUGGGUAUUUACGUGGCAGAAGAGAAGUCCUGAUGUUGAUUAACUGAAAAGGAAAAAUAUUCGUUAUUAUAAAAACAAGUGGUGGGUACUAAUUAGCUAAGGUAAAAAAUUUGACAUGAACCAUAUAUUUCUCCAUAAUUCCAAGGAUAAGAAGAGGUUGGACUUUUCCUUGGACACAAAAUAAUAUGUUUAAAAAAGAAAAUUGGUGGGGAAGAAGCAAGCAAAAUAUAUAGUCUAUAAAUGAAUGCACUUUUAGGUUGAAUUAUGCGGGCUAGAAUUAGACAAGUCACGAGAGAAACGCCUUUAUCACAUUUAAUUAAGUACAUAAAAUAAAUUUUCACCAAAUUCUAUUAGAAUUCAUGUGAUAUUAACCAAGUUAUGACAAAAGCUAAAAAAAUUUAUUUCAUUGGAUGCGAAAAUCUAAAGGUGAAUUAAGAAACAGAGAAAAAAAAUAAAACAUACAAAUACUCUGCAUGAUUCAGCCAUUGAUGUACGUUGAUAUAUAAACAAACAAAGAGCAAGAUUUUUAUAUAUUACCGUAAAAAAAUAGUAUAAAAGGGUAUCUUUCUCAAAAAAAAUAAAAAAAAAUCAAAACACUCAAAAUGUGAUGCACGGUCUCUCUUUUUCGCUGUACCAAUUCAUAGAAUAAAAGAUAUAUUUAUGCUAAUGGCUAAAUAAUAACAAGACUAUAAAUAUUUUUAAUGAAAUUAAAAAUAAUUUUAACUUAAUUCCUGCAUAAAUCAAAAUAAAAUAUGAUUGGAAAAACUUGGCGCUUAAAGAAUUCACCAUAUAUCUACCAGACAAUUUUGGACCAACCACAUCACUUCUUUCUAAACCAACUAAAAUCUCAGAAAAUAGUAGUAUCAGAAAGAGAAGGGAAAAAGAAAAAGAAUUCCAAGUCCUUGGAAUUAUUGGAUUUGCAUUUCCAUACACCAAGUAUGUCCAAUUAUACGAAACGCAAACGUGCGUGGUAACGUAGUGUAAUCACGGCUAAGCCACAGAGGGUCCAUAUAAUUGAAGGACUAAUUAAUCUAUAGAACUAAUGGUGUUUUUUCUUUUGGUUUCUUUGAGGAGGUAGAUCAAAUGUUAAUUAAAUUAACAAAGUAAAUCAGACUCCAACGUAUAUUGUUAUUAUUAUUAUAUAUGCAUGAGUAUGUUGUUAUUAUUAUUGUAUUUUAUAAUAAGAGGGUACCAUCAGAUUCCAACGUAUCUACUCCCGCUACUAUUGGGUUGUUGCUCGUGAAUUCGACGGUUCAUAUAUACCCUCCACUGGUAUGGCACAGGAAACAACGUCACAUAAGGGACACUAAGUGACAACGAAUAAGACCUAGACCUAGACAGGUGCACCACGUCAGAUACGAUUCAGCCUAUACUUUUUCAAAUGUAGAAAACUUCAAAUUGAAAANUGAAUUUUUUUGGGUGCACCCGGUGCACUAGUUUUAUUUUAAAAUUUUAUUUUUUAUUUUUUAUUAUAAUUUAAUUAUAUAUUUAUAUUAUGAUAUUUUAAAAAUAUAUAUAUAAUAAUUUAGAUUUUAAAGAUUUUAAAAUUAGUUUUAACAUAUAUUUUUAAAUAUAAUAAAAUAUAUAUCUAUUAUAUUAAAUUAAAAAUUAAAAUUAAAAUUAAAAUUUUAAAAUAAAAAAUGGUGCACCGGGUGCACCGAAAAAAACCUGCUGCUCUCCCAAGAGGCAGAGCAGUAGGGACGGUGGCCCGCGUGGCUCGGGUGCCACGCGGCGCCCAUCCACACUGUCCUUAAAAAAAAAAAAAAUUUGGACAUGGUAUCCAUCAAAUUUUUACCCCCACCUCCACUAGCGCCGCGCCUUUAGAAUAUUUACGCGAAGCGACAGAAAUGAAAGGACGGUAAUAUAACGAGUCCGCCUCGAUGCUCGCGUGGCACUCAAAUAAUUGAGAACGACGUGGGGCCCAUCUACAGGACAGUAGCACGUGCUCUCGGCGGGGCCCACUCUGCCGACGGGUGGGCCCCACUCAUUUGGGAUUGGUGGCGUGGCCGAAUCUGCGUGGUUUGCAUGGAAACGGCCCGCGCGCAAAACGCGGUUACGUGAUGAAGUGGCUUCGCGUGAAUCAGAACCGUUCAAUCUAGACUAGUGAAUGGACCCUUUCGCGAAUGGUAGCCAAUGUCCAUUUUUGUGGAUGUUAAUGUAACAUUUAUUAAUGGGAUUAUCCUUGUAUCUCCUUUCUCUUUGGAAAUUACUUUUGGAUGGGGAUAAAAGAAUAAAAUAUUCGUGUUUAUUGGGCAACAUGAAAUAUUAACCAUAUAUAUAUAUAUAUAUAUAUAUAUAACCAAACAAGUAAAGUUGUUUCAUUAACGAGGGUGAUAUCGAAUAAUAUUGUGCAUACAAAUCAUUUUACAAGCUUUUUAUAAAUUCGUGCAAGUGAAAUUUAGAACUAAACUUUGUGAUUUGUGAACAAUCCUCAUUGAAAUAUAAACAUAUAAGUAAAUUUGACAAAAGUGGAUAAAAUAUUUGUAAUAGUACUGGUUCAAUUCUCAGAAGGGGUUUUGAAAUAAUAACCAACCUGAGAGAGAGAGAGAGAGAGAGAGAGAGAGUGAAAAACCUAAAAAAGCUUCGCCAACGAUACGGAUCAUUUAUACUUUAUUAUAUAUAUCUCUUAUAGUUUAUACCACGGACCCAUUGUUUAAAAAGACUAGUGAAUAUAUAUAUAUAUGUUAUAAACAGCUAGCAAAUGAUAAAAUUAUAAUAUACACUAUCAUCAUAUAAUCCUAUAACUUCCAUACAUCUUUUUUAAUGGCAAAUCCUGAAAAAGUAAUUAAGACAAGAUAUAGAUUAAGUGCGAUAUUUUAAAGUUUAAGCAAGAAAACAGUAAGCUUCAAAUGAACUACACCACAGGUGGGCGUGGCUUUGGAGUUUUCACUGCAGUAAUUAAAUAGCGGAGGCCAUUGUAAUUUGAGGUACAUAUAUGGGCUUCUUUUGAAGUUAUCGUUUUCACUUUUCAGUUCUCAGAGGGGUUGCCCAUGUGAAAAAAUCUAUUUCAUUAAUUAGCUAACCAUAAUAUUUCCAAUGACCAAGACAAGCCUUUAUUUCUAUGGACAACAGUGAAAAUUGAUAGGAAAGUGGACAUGUACUAUGAAACUCUUUUCUUUUUUGUAAAAAAGAGAAAGGCAAAAUACUAUUUGCUUUGUUAAUUUGAAUUUUAUUUUAGAAAUGAACUAAGUUGAAGAUGUAAAGCAACUAGGUUUUUGGGGCCUUUAAUACGUAUCAACUAUCAUGCUCUAUGGCGCUUGUAUUAGGAAAGGUGGGUAUAAAACUGUUAAAAAACAAGGUAGCAAUAAGAAAAAUGUCUGAGUAACUACUAUAUUCACUAUUGCGUUGGUCAAUUAAUCUAUAUACAUAUAUAUUGUGAAAUCCAGUGUAAACAUGAUCUAGUGAGUGAGCUCUUGAGGGUAAACAGGAACAAUACUCAAUUAUAUAAAAUCUAAAAUAUGUAUUCAAACACAUAUUCAAUUAAUUACAUAUAGCUUUGUUUAAAUUAAUGAGAGUAAUACAAUUACAUAUAUAGUCUAAUUUAUUCUUUUAAAUACAAAAAAAUAUAAGAAAAUAGCCAAUGAAAAGCAGAAUCACUUUUUUCCUUACCUUUGAUGCAGCAAACUUGGCGAAACCGGCUCGAGCAGUAAAAAACCAGUCCAAGGAGCUCAACCAGAUCGAACCAAGGAAUUAAAGUAGCGAGAUACUCGUAUAUUGAGAGACCAUGGAGAGCCAAGGGAUCUAGCCCGUUUUAUAGAGCAACUUAAAAGCAACUAAUCAAUGGCGUGGGAAUUGUGGUGUGGGGUCACCUGAGAAAGAGAUUGCCUAAGUUUGACAAAUGCGCUCAUGGUAACUAUUAGAUUGAUAAAAUAAAAAAUGACGCGUGGAUUGCGAGUAUCCAUUGUUUAGGCUACAACGAUGGGAACCCCAUUUAAUAUUUAUUAAUUAACACCAAUAAAAAAUAAUAUAUUUAGCUUCAAUGUAGGCGAUAUUUUGUAACUGUAGGAUUGGAAUCAGAAAUGUAGGAUUGGAAUCAGAAUCCCCCAACCACCAAACAGCUAGAUAUGCCCAAAUUAAAUUCUAGAUUGGAAUCCUAGUUAAACUUAUAAUUAAUAGUUAAGCAGAUCUUAUUCGUCCCUAAAUAUUGGAUUAAUGCAAUUAAUUUGUACGAAAUUAAAAAGGAUUAUAAUUUUUAAAAAAUUAUAGUAGCCACAUAUAGUUCAAAAUUUUCUGUUCGGAACUACAAGUCGAAUGAUGAAACUUCAACUUAUAAAAAAUUUUAAAAAUCGACAUUUUGAAUGUAUACAUAUAUCUAUAUAGGUGCAAUUAAUUAAUUUCUUUUUUUGACAAAAAGAAAUAAAAGAAACUUAGAAACCGGGGAAUUAAUUAUCGGUCCGUACGCGUGCGGUGGGUGAAACGUUUUGAACGAAGGGUUGUGUGAAAUGACCAAAAUUUUCUAUCAAUGAUGCAGGAAACUGAAAUAUGCAUGUGGUAGUUAUGCUUUUUUUAAUAUACAUUUUGUAUUUGUUUUUGUGAAAAAAGAAAGUUGUGAUUAAGGUCAAACAGCGUGAUUCAUGUUUGCUAGCUGUCAAUAUCUAAGCAUGCCACGUCAAGCUAAGGCUCCGCGUACGGCCACGAUCGAUGCUCUUUCACGUGAGACAUGAGCCUUAUAUUUAUACCAUCAACAUAAUAUUUUCUCUCCUAAUGGAUGAAGCAGAUAGCUUUGCUACCUUUUCUCAAAAAAAAAAAAAAAACAUAAUAUUUUCUCUCAAUAUAUUGAUGGUUUAUCUAAUAAUCCUCAUUAAACGUGCAAUAAUUUCACUGAUUAAAUUCGUUGCCUAAUAACUUUUAGUUAAAAUACCAUAAUAUCUUCAUGGACUGGAGCAUUUAUUAUUAUUAUUCUCGGAACAAAUAUAUUAAGUAUUUAUUUAGUACACUAGACCAAAUUUAAUAUAUCUCACCUAUUUUGAUGUUGGCUCUUCUAUUUAAAAAUAUGUGGAUUUAUGCAUUGACAAUUAUAUAUACAAUAUUCACUAAUCGUUCUCAGUGCAAAUGGCAAAUUAAGGAUUUGAUGGUCAAUAUUCGGGGUCCUAAAUUCGAAACCUAGUUGUUUCAUAUUUUUAGUUAAGUUUUUUUUUAAAAAUAAAAUAAAAGAAGCGAUAUCAUGCAUGCUACCAUUCUCGCUCUCUCUCUCUCUCUCAAAACAAAAAAAAAAAGAAAAAAAGAAAAAAGAAAAAAAAAGAAGACAAUUUACAGUAUUUAAUUUUGUUAGUUUAACUUGGAUUACUAUUUGAUAGGUGUGUGUAUAAAAGUGAAAUUAUUUUUUACAUGUGCAAUCAUGAGAACUAAUCUAAUAAGCAAAAUACAUAGUUUGAUGCAACUUUUUAUAUAUACUAUAUAAGUACGGUGCAUAUAUAAGCCCAACUGUAGAGGUAUAUACAUCUAUAUAUACUAUAGUAUAUAUAUAUAUAUAUAUUAUAUUAUAUGUAUAUAUAUAUAUAUAUAAUAUAUAAUAUUAUAAUAGUUUUAUUAUAUAUAUAAAUUAAUGAGAGAUUGACAGAGAAUACAUGCGAUGGCUUAGUUGCCACGCUCUUUAUAAGCUCGAAAAACGUAUUUGGGUAAGUAAGAUUGAAUAAUAUUUUAUAGGUUCAAAAUUUUUUUUUUUCUAUUGGUUUUAUAUGAAUUCUCCAAAGAAGUGCAAUCAAUUACACUUUUUUUUAUAUAUAAGUAAUGAGACUGAUCAUGAUCUGUUGACUAGCAAAAUAGAUAUAUUUUUCCUGACUAUAGAAUACAAUUAAAUCCGUAAGAUAUGACAUAUGAUAUGGUUUAAUUAUAUACCUAUAAGCAAUAAAAAAAUGUUUAAAGAGAAUAUGUGUGGAAUAUGAGUACAGUAAAUAUAAAUUUAUAAUCGCUUUUUUACUUAUUAAAUAUAUAAUUAAAGAUUCAAGAUGUAAUAUAUGAUUCAAUUCUUUUCAUGUCGUUACUACGCCUAACUAAUAUCAAUUGCCAUAAUAUCUAUGUCAUAAACACAACUUUUUCAUUCAACCAUUAGAGAUUUGCUGAUUUUUUCAACAAAAGUUUCAAAAUAACGAAAUCAAAAGCAAAUAGUUAAGGAAUAAUGGACCGCAAUAAUAUAUACAAAUAAAAUAAAAAAAAUGUUACAUGAAAUUACGAGAAUCACGAGGUAUUAGUUUACAUGAUUCAUCAUUGAUAUUUGUAGUUCAAAUGUUUAUAACUCCGCGGCUUUAUUUGGUCGCCUUCUAUUAUUAAUUAAUAAUAGUAGUUAAUUGUUAUUGCAUUAUUGAUAUAUCGAUGAUAUAUAUUUAGGACGCAACCAUCGGAGGACGCGAAUCGCAUAUUGCAAUGCGUUCGGACUAUGCGUGCAAGUGUAGAAUCGUGCUGUGCAACGCCUUUAGCCAAGAAAUAUUAGAGAAACGCAAGUAUUCAUUUAUAUCAUACAAAUAAUUGCAUUUUAAUUGCUAAUAAAAAUGCGCACAUGUUGGUUUGACUGCACGCAUGUUAGGAGAUAAGUCGUCACUAUUUUUAAGAAAUACUUAAUUUAUAGUAAUAAAAGGAUCAACUAUAUCUUCAUAAACUAUUUAUACAAGAAUUAUAUAAUAUUAAUUUUACUAAUUCACUUUUUAUUUUAGUUAAAUCAUAAUAAUAAUAAUAAGACUUAUAUAUAGGGAAUAAAAAAUAACUUUCAUAGACGGGUGUAGAAUUUACACACCAACAAUGAAUGCUCAUUUUUUUAAAAGGGCAAACUUCAAAUCCAUCCCUAUAGUUUAAUAUUUUUUUUAUUUUUAAAUAUUCUUUGUUUAAAAUGUAUGCACUUAGUAUCCAGUAAUUUUAUUUCAUCUUUUUUCUCAAGCUCUCAUUUCUCUUUUCGUCGCUCUCAGUUGACAUUAUUGUAAAUUAAUUAUAUAUAAAAAACUCAGAUAUCCAACCUAGCUAGAUUUUAUCGAAUAUUCACUUAUAGUGACUUUUUAUUUUAACUUUGUCAGUAAUUUAAUGAAAAAUUUAGUGAUGGAAUGAUAAAAGAGAAAUAAUAAAACUAUAUAUACUAAAUUGAUACACUUAAAACCAUAUGGUACUAAAAUAAAAAAGUGCGAGUAGUAUUUGAAUUUUUUCUUAGUUUCAAUAUAGUUCUUUUUUAAUAGUUAAAUAGAGUAUUUAAUUAGAAACUCUUACCUAAUUUUAGGUCUAGCGAAAAUUCGAGCCUUUUGAUUAUAGUACUUUAUAUUACAAAAAAUGUGGCUUAUUCGUAGCCUAACUAUUUUUAGAAUGUGUUAUCUGUGUAACACAUGGUGCUCUUUAUUAAACAGGUGACCCAAAUUAAAGACAUAUUCGAAGAGAAGCAUGUUGACGUUGAGGGUUGACCAAACGGAAGUUCCAUGGUGGCCAUGUUCCUAUAGUCUGUGAUGUGGUCCGCGUGAUAAGUAUGCAACACGAUUGUAAUUAAUUACUUCAUAAGCACAUUAAAUAGUUGAUAUUAGAUUUUUACAUGAUAUUUAAUUUUUCUUUAUAAUAUUCUCUUGUCAUAUAUACACAUCACGUUGAAGAGAGAGAGAGAAAGCUACAACUGUGCCGUUAAAUUAAGUUAACUUGUGAGAGGUAAAAUGGAAUUGCCAUCAACGAGAGGGAAACCAAAGUGGUUUACAGUUUACACACGAUGUGUCUCGCUCUCAACAUUAUAGGAUCUUGUACGUUGCAAAGUUAUUACACGUUCUACGUCAGUAAAUUAACUUUAGAAGUGUGGUGGGGGGAGAUGAAGCUAUAAAUGAAUUGAUUCCCACAAUUCAGGGACCAAUUGGCAUGCAUGUUUAUCAACACUUAGCUAGGAUAUAGAUUUUUUCCAAAACAAAUUCAAAUGUUAAGCUAGCUACGAUAUUUGUCACUUAGGGCAUGCGUAAAUAAUGGAGCAUUAUUCACAUGCUAGUCCAAGGUAUAUAUUUAUAAAUUUUGAGUAAUGCAUCAACCGUCCUAGCGUAAGUGACAAAAGGUUUCAUGGUUGGUAUUCGAGACCAAGUUCGAAUCCUAGUUGAUUCACAUUUUCAGCUAAGUUUAUUUCUAAAUGAAAUAAAACGAACGUGAUAGUAUGCUAUCUUUCUCUAAAAAAAUAUAUUUUGAGUAAUGCGCGGUGUCUCCGGGCAAGCGAUGAAUGUAUAGUUCGCACUAAUAGUAUACGUGGUAAUUGAACUUAAUUAUUAGUUUGCUAAUAGUAUAAUGGUAAUGAACUUGCACGUAUCAAUUAAAGUCUGAAAUUAAUUAUUAGAUCCUUAAGGUCCAAUGUAAUCGUAACUUCUGUAUUGCAAUAAUUAAACCUACUCAUCAAUACCGACCAUCCAAGCCUAAGUGACAAAAGGCUUGAUCGUUAUUGUAAUCUGAAAUUUCAAUUUUAAAACUUAAUUAUUUAAUUUUUAGCUAAAUUUAUUUCUAAAAAAAUAUUGCAUAGUACCAUGCUAUAUACUAUAAUAUUCUCUCUCCCGAAAUCCAAAAAAAAAAAAAAACAAAAAAAAACUACUCAUCAGUUAAUACUUUAGUUCAACUGAAUAUCAAGGCUUUCAACUUUUAAAUUGUUUUCAGAUGAAGUGACUUCCAAAUUGAUGAUCGAUUUUGUUAAAGUAAUUUAAUUAUAUGUAAAAUACAUAAAAAUAAAUUUUAUAAUUUUUCGAUAUUAUUUAUUAAAUGAUCAAAAUAUAUAACUCAAAAUUGUUAGUAAUUUCUAAUGGUCGAUAUGAAUUUUUGUAAGUUUAAUAGCAUAGAAAUAUUCCAAUAAAAUAAAAUUUCGAUUGAAAUUAUUUUAUGCUAUCUAAAAUAAAAUUAAUAAUUUUGAUUAAAAAUUUUAUUAUUAUAUUAUUAUUGUCUACGAGAUUUUAAUUUUUUGGCCAUUCAUUUACAAUUCACUCAAUCACUAGAUAAAAAAUAUAAAAAAAUCAUGAAAUUUAUUAUCUGGACGAAAGCCUCAAACUUAACUUUUAAGUCCCCAAGGUCAACUCUCAAUAUUAAUUUCAAGAUAUAAUAUUAUAAGGGUUUUGCUUUCAUCGUCGGUCACCGGCCACUAUGUUUCUUAGUAGGUUUUAUUUAUCAUAUUAUUACUUAUAUUGCUGAGUUGUUGGUGACGAUAGUGUUUUACUUCUUAUUAUCAUGUUAUCCGCUACACAUGUCGAAUAAUUAAUCACUUUUAAAGCAAUUGUUUCAGAUUAAUUACCGCUGGGUACUCUUAAUUAGCAACCUAAAAAACCCUUGCUAGUUACACUAGCUAGAUAAUACUCUUAUCUCCCAUCAAACUAAUAAUUUUUUUUUUUUUUGAGAAAAAGGUAGCAUGCUUCUCGUUUCAUUCAUUGGAAUGAACCAUCAAACUAAUAUUAAUUGGACCCUUUUGUUAAUUUUCUCCGAUCUGUUUUAUAUGAUGCUGGGCCAAUGGGAGGUGCAUUUUGCCUUUAGUACUCUAGCCACUCUCAGACAAACCACACCUUGAUUGAAAGCUAUGCAAUGAAUUAACUGUAGCUCAUGUGCUUAAAAACCACAACUUGCCCUUUCUUUUAAGAAAAGUAAUANNNNNNNNNNNNNNNNNNNNNNNNNNNNNNNNNNNNNNNNNNNNNNNNNNNNNNNNNNNNNNNNNNNNNNNNNNNNNNNNNNNNNNNNNNNNNNNNNNNNUUUGAAUCAAAUGUUGGUUUAUAGCUGUACUAAUGUCAUUAGAUUACCAGCGGGUUAGUUUAUGAUCUAAACUCAACUCUCGAAAGGUUACCAUUUGUAUUUACAUUUGAGCUUCAAAUUGAGUUUUGAGCAAAUCAUAUGGAACAAAUUCAAAAUCAACCUUAGUUUUUUUUAAAAAAAAAUAGUAAUCUUAGGGCAUUUAAAUAGAAAACACAAAACCACUCGGCAUUAACAUCAAAAUUUGCUAAACUGUUUACAGAUUAAGUUACCAUGUAGGCAUUAAUUACAAUAGUUAUUAUUAUUAUUUUUUUUUGAGAGAUAGAUAGCACGCUACCCGUUUCGUUUAUUUUAUUUAGAAAUAAACUUAGCUGAAAAUGUGAAUCAACUAGGAUUUAAAUUUAGGUCUCGAGUAUCAAUCACCAAGCCCUUUGCCGCUUGCUCUAGGGACGGUCAAUUUCAAUAGUUAUUAAACCCGAGCAUUUGAAGGUGCAAUUUGGCGUUUGGAGUGCAUUGGGGUAGUUUAUGGGGUACACUUUUGAGUAAGCAAAGCCGGAUGGGUACCGCCGAAGUGGUAAAGGGUGGAGUGUUUGAAACCGCGUCCCGGGACUGCGGCGGCGAUCGCGACGCGGGGCGACGCUGGUAAACGCUCCCAAAAAAGAAGAGUCUAAAGUGGGGGGUGAAAAAAAAAAAAAAAAAAAAAAAAAAAAAAANNNNNNNNNNNNNNNNNNNNNNNNNNNNNNNNNNNNNNNNNNNNNNNNNNNNNNNNNNNNNNNNNNNNNNNNNNNNNNNNNNNNNNNNNNNNNNNNNNNNNNNNNNNNNNNNNNNNNNNNNNNNNNNNNNNNNNNNNNNNNNNNNNNNNNNNNNNNNNNNNNNNNNNNNNNNNNNNNNNNNNNNNNNNNNNNNNNNNNNNNNNNNNNNNNNNNNNNNNNNNNNNNNNNNNNNNNNNNNNNNNNNNNNNNNNNNNNNNNNNNNNNNNNNNNNNNNNNNNNNNNNNNNNNNNNNNNNNNNNNNNNNNNNNNNNNNNNNNNNNNNNNNNNNNNNNNNNNNNNNNAGCAUCUAAUUUUAGGAUGAAAUUAUAAAUGAAAUACAGGCUGCAGUAGAUAGAAUUAUAUGUACAUUAGUCAACAACAGCUUAUUAUACUAAUCACCUUUAAACAACAAAAAAAGUUUAUUUCAACCUUACAUUAAGAUAAUCUUACUCAUUACCGUGUUUAGUAACUAUAAAAUGGUGCAAACAUAAUUUUCCAUCAACAUAUGCACAUCCAUCAAUAUAAUUUAUAAGUUAAGACACCCUAUAUAUCAACUCACGCUAUCAAAUACUUUGGUGCUAUCAGUAGUACAAGUCUCUUGGGGCCACUUCAAGCGCUUUCCGCCGUUAGAUCUGCCUUUUUCAUUAUUUCCAGAUAAACCAUUAUUAUAACUGUUCAAAAACCAACCAUCCACUCAACUCAUAGAAGACGCAUCUAACCGCAACUAUUUUAAUUAAGGAUCCGAAAACCUAAUAGCACCAAUUUACUUAGUAUUAUCAAUAAUAUAGUAGCCUAGUUCCAAUUAAAUAUACAUAUAAAACUAUGCUGUUAUACUAUUGAUAAUACUGAUCGCUUGGUGCUUAUCGAGUUUUCGAACUUUGGAUGAAAGGAUGUGCGGUUAGGAUGUAUUAGUGAUCCCUUAGAGUGAAUAUGGGUGAUCUGUUGAAUACACAACGUAAUGGUAGAAAUGAUCAAAGAUAAAUCAAACAACAGAAAACUUGAUAGUAUUAAGAACUUGAUACUAUCGAUAGAAUAGUAGCCAACACUUUAUAUAAUAUAUAUAUAGAGAGAGAGAGAGAGAGAGAGAGAGAGGAGAGAGAGAGAGAGAGAGAGAGAGGUUGAGUUAGAAUACAUUUAAAACGUUUUUUUUUUUUUGCAUUUGGCCCUCUCAAAAUAUUUUUUUUACAAAUAGCCUCUAUCAAAUACUAUUCAACUACCGUCGCUAACUCAAGUAAGAUAUAUCAUCCUAAUCGCUAUAACAUUCCAUCCAAAAAUAUAAAUCUAAAAGACCAACCUUUUGUGCUUUUAGAAAUAUUCUAGCUCAAUUCUCUUCUCUCUCUCUCUUCUCUCGUUCUCUCUCUCUCUCAUCUCCUCUCUCUCUCUCUUAUAUAUUAGUAUAUAUUAUAUAUAUAUAUAUAUAUAUAGAACUAGGCCACUAUGCUAUUAAUAGCACAAAGUCAUUGGUGCUAUCAAGUUUUGGCCAUUGAAUUAAAAAAUGUGUGGUUAGGAUGAUAUGGGCCAUCUAGGGUUGAGCGGGUGGUUAGUUGAAUAGUAUAAUCUAACGGGUGAAAAUUAUCAAAAUGGUAGAUUUAACGGCAGAAAACUUGAUAGCACCAAGUGUUUUGUACUAUUAAUAGUAUAGUAGCCGGACUCUAUAUAUAUACACACACACAUCCAAACUGAGAAGAUAGACGUAGCUGUAAAAUACAACCAAAUAAUCUUUUAUAAAUUGGACUCGAUUUGAACAUUUAAUGGACGUCAACAACACGCGCUUUGGAUUGUUCAACCAAUUGUAGAAAUCUGAGUUUCACUGGGACCAGAUGGAACGAAAAAGGGCUUUGUAGCUCUUAACUGGGGAAGGUGAAGAACAGGACUAUUGAGUGGUUAUAAUCUGGUAGAAAGUAUACAAAAAGGAACUUUCCUUUUUAUUUCUUAUCUUGUUUUCUUUAAUUAGCUUUUUUUUUUUUUUUUUUUAGUUUUAGAUUCGAGUAGUUGCUGUUAUACUCGGAUAACAUAUCGGAGCAAUUUGAUUUGCACGUGCAUAUCAUUUAAACAUUAAUAUUAAAAGAUUCACUAAUGACAGAGAUAGGUAAAAAUUAUUAAAUUUGGCUAUAUCUAAUUAAAUAAAUAACGACCAGGUUUAAUAAAUUUUAUAUGUUAAUAUUGAAAUUAGACCUCUUACGACCCAUCAGUUAAUGAGUGGGCUGUAUAGACUAUGCUAAUCCACCGUAAUGGGCCGAGGUUGCUACUUGGCCCAUAUUUUUUUUUUAUUUACUUUGAAAAAAUUAUCAUCUUCAUUGUUUUUCCUUUGAUUUCAUCUCACAGCCGACACGUGGAGAUAAUAUCAAGACAUUAGUCCACACAUCUAAUCUAAAUAAAAUAUGAAAGAUAAUGUAAUGUUACGUGAAUUUCUCAAUAACACAGUAUUUUUAUAAAAUUUAUUGCUAUUAAUAGUGAAAAUGAUGUUAUCAAAACUCACUCUAAUAUUUUACAGCACCAAAAAAAUUAAGAAAUAUCUCAAAAUUUUCUUUUGCAAUGAUUUUUUUUUUGUUUAGAAUUUUAAUUUUAUUAUUAUUAUUAUUAUUAUUACACUAGAGAAGAACAUUUUUAAAAUACUUAAAAAAUGUAUUUUACGUUUGUCUUAGCUACGCCCAAAUGUACGCUACGGGGAAUUGUGUUUUUUUAUCAGUACCAGUACGACCAAACCGUAUUUGAUUAAACCACUUCAACAACCGAAAUUGCUCGAUUCCUGAAGCAUCCAUUUCCCCCAUUUUUCUUUGUAUAUAUUUUUAUUCGUAAUUUUACGCCGAGUAAUUCGGUGUUGGUCGCAUCACCGGUCCCUCCGCCUCGGUUUCCUCUCUCCUGCCUCCGCCGCCACGAAUCUCGAGCGCGUCCAUUAUUAGAUCGCCAUUGUUGGGGGUUUUUUUUCGUUCGAUUUUGUUUCGAUCCGAAGGGUUUUUCUCCUCUCCGAAUCGAAGUUUGCUUUUCUUUCCGCGACAUGAUAUGAGAUCCCAGGGUUUGCUGUAGUUCGAUUGUGGAGUAGAUGUAUUUAGGAGUUAAGAGUUUUUGUUUUAGUAGAUCUCUCUAAUUUGCACUGUGCUUGGUGAAUCAGUGCCCUGCGAGGUUGAGAAAUUCUAGGGUUCUUACAAUCUGAUCGUUUGAGAGUUAUUUUCUGUGACCUGGAUGCUGUUUAUGUUGAGAAUUCGGCCGUUUUAGGGUUUAGAAUGUGAGAUCUAUUUGACUUGAGCUCCUGGUCUUAAAUUGGAGUUUCCUAGCUACAUGUUUGGUGCAAAAUUAGUGUUUUAUAGCCACAGCUUUAUUUUGUUAAUAUCUAGAUUAUUUGAAUUAAAGUUCCUUUUUUGUUUUUAACCCUGGGGAUUAGAAAUUACAAGCAGCUUAGCACAGAACGAACUUCUGUUACAUAGGGCAUGAAAUCUCUGAAUUUUGACUUCUCUGUUUCGUCGAUUCAAUCCGACCUUUCAACUUGAGAGAUAUAUAUUUCGGUUCCUAUGGAGGCUAAAGUCGGUGGCAGCGUAGAACAUCAGCUUCAUUGUGCCAAAACAUCCAAUGGACUCAAAAAGAAGAAUUUUGAUUGGGAUUUGAAUGAUUGGAAAUGGGACGGCAGUCUCUUCACGGCUACGCCGCUGAAUUCUGCUCCAUCGGAUUGCCGUAACAAGCAAUUAUUCUGUGUGCAAGAAGCUGCCAUGCAAGCAAAUCGCUCAACUUUUGGUCCCAACGAGAUCGAUUUCGGUCUCACUCAGAAAGGUAAUGGAAAACUAGAAGGGAAGCGUAGGAGGAUUAUAGUGGUAGAAGAAGAGGAAGAAGAUGAUGAAUCUUAUGAUCAAUUUGGAUCUCCUUCCUUGAAGCUCGGGGAACAAUCUCAUCUGGUUUCUGAGGCUGGGCCUGCCCCCCUAGAAGAGAACAAUGAGAAGAGUGCCAAGUUGCAGGGCAGAAAUUCGAGUGGGCCCUCUUGCCAAGUGGCGGGUUGCGGGGGUGAUCUCACUGAAGCAAGGGAUUACCUGAGGAGGCACAAGGUUUGCGAAGUGCAUUACAAAGCCAAGAGUGCGCUUGUAGGGAAUGAUAUGAAGCGGUUUUGUCAGCAAUGUAGCAGGUUUUUUAUUAAUUUCAUGCUAGAUAAAUAUUUGUCUGUUGAAUUAUUUUGGUAAUCGUAUUGAUUCGUUUGGUUAUUAUCCGUCAACUAAAUUUGAUUGCCAGGUAGUGGUGCCCUUGGUGGUCUAUUGGAUUGAUAUUACAUGCUGAGUAGAAUUAUGCUUGGUUGCUGUUUAGUCAACCGCAACCAAACAAAUGAUCAUUUUUAGCAUAAUUUGGUUCUCUGAUGGUUGAACUAAUUAUGCUAGUAUUUAAUAAAAUAUAAACUUUGUCCCAUAAUAUGCCCGAGAAUAUUAUAUAAUACAUUUUGCUGUGGGUUUAUAAAUGUAGUUAUAUUGUAUUGGCAGGUUCCACCUUCUCCAAGAAUUUGAUGGAGACAAGAGAAGUUGCCGGCGGCGACUGGCUGGGCACAACGAAAGGAGAAGAAAAACUCCAGCCAAUCCCACUCCGAAUGGGACCUCUUUCGAUGGUGAUCAAAAUAGCAGCUAUAUAUUGCUCAGUUUGCUGAAAAUACUUUCCAACUUAGAGUGUAAGUUAUUAUAUUGCAUAUUGGAAAUCCAUAAUUCCAUUUCUCUGAUGUUCUGUAUACUAUUACAUGCUUCUUCUUAUGAAUCUUUUGUUGCAGCAUUUCAGUCACAAGACUGCUUUUCAUUUUAAUAUUUUUAUCAUGUUCUUUUCUUUGUUCUGCACUUCCACAUAGUAUACCAUACCAUUCUGUCGAUAUUAUGAUUUCAAACAUAUUUUUUUUGCUAUUGUAAACUUAAUUUUCUACGAUAACUUUGAUGAUGCGAUAAUGAAUUUUGUUUUGAAAUUAUUGCAGCUGUUAACUCUGAGCAACCAAAUAAUCAGGAACUUCUGAUCCAUCUCCUGACAAACCUCGCUGGACUCGCGGGUUCAUCUGAUUCAAGAAACAUUGCUCGGCUCCUUCAGGCAUCUCAAGAAAAUCUGCACAAAUCUGGAAGUUCUGCUGGGCAGUCAUCAGAAGCUGCUAAUGCACUUCCAAACAGCUAUACUUUGCUUGAACCUAAUACUACUGUAGCUACUACUGCUGCAGCUUCAGCUAUGCCUUUGGAAAGAACUAAAGCAGGAGCUCCUGUAGUAGAGAAAGAGCCAGGAAUUCCUUCUCAAAGGACAGAAGAGGCGCCUUUGCAACUUAAUAGGUUAAAGAAUUUUGAUUUAAAUUGCACCUAUAAUGAUCAAGAGCAUUGCUUAGAACAGCACACAGCAACAACUGCCACUCAGCAAAAUGGUUCACUUGCUUAUGCUACUUGGAUGGUGAAGCAGUCCGGUCCGUCACAGAUGAAUGGUAAUUUAGAUUCUUCGUCUUGGCGAUCUCUAAACUCGAACAGAAAUGAUCAGGUAUUUCAUCUUUGUUCGACAAUCAACAUUCUAGUACUUUUGUCUACAUAAAAAUUGGAUACUCUCUGCUGGAAAACUUCGUUCUUUGCAUUGCUAUUGUUGAGCUCUGGUUAGCAAAAGCUUGAGCUCCAGCUUCAUCCGGUGUCUUGUCUAUUUUAGCUAUUUAACUAUUUGAACCAAAGUUGGUUGUGAACCAUAAAUAUAAUCAUUAUUAUAUUGCAAAACUUAUGUGUAGGCUCAUUUUUUCAUUAGCAAACUCAAAAGGGAGUUUUACAUUUUCCUUGUUCAGCAAAUAAACUAUCUUGAACUAAGUUACCACUUGAAGUGGAUUUUUCCAUUACUUGUUUCUAAUGCUAAAACUGCCCAACUUUUUGCUUGUGCACUCGAAGUGGGCAUAGUAAUGUAUCUUGGGGAAAUUGUAUUGUCGGACAAAUAUUGUGGCAAUGCUUGAUUCUUAUUCCUGGCUGCUAUGAAGUUUCCAGAAAUUUCACAUCAUUGAAAAUCAUUUGAAUUUCGAGUUUGUCUGUUUAACGGAAAAUAACUCUCUAUGUAUCCAGGACCGCUACUCUCUAAUAGGUUCGAACAACUGUUUUCAUGUCAAAUAUUUUAUAAAUCUAGCGAAACAUAAGUAAGUUUCUUCUUCAUAACAUUUAUGCCAUUUGCAGAGUCGUACAGACAAAAUUGUCUUCAAGCUCUUUGGAAAAGAUCCAAAAGAUUUCCCUCUUGUUUUGCAUCCGCAGGUAAAUUAUUUUAUUUAACUUAUAUACUUUAUACACUUCUAGCAUUAAACAAAAAAAAUGCUUGCUGGUACAUGUUCCUUUAGUAGCUUAUUAAUGAAUUUCAUUUACAGAUAUCCAACUGGUUGUUACAUUGUCCUACCGAGAUGGAAAGCUAUAUUAGGCCUGGUUGUAUCAUUCUAACACUUUAUCUUCGUCUGGCUGACUCUCUGUGGGAGGAGGUAACCUUUUACAUGUGACAUAAUAUCAUGAACUACCAGAAUUGUUAGUUAUCAUCUUCUACUGCUUACUAGUUUAUGCUAACUUGUUGUACAUAAAGCUCUACCAUGAUCUUACUUCUUGGAUGGAGAGGCUACUCAAUAUCUCCAGUGACGACUUUUGGAGGACUGGAUGGGUAAUUGCUAGGGUACAACAUCAUAUGGCAUUUAUUUACAAUGGUGCGUUGGACAUUGUCUAGAGUAGUACAUUAUUUCUUUUAUUGUUUUAAUAAUCUUUUUUCUACUUGGUGCAUGUUUGGCCUGGCUUCUGAUGUAGCUUUUCUAUUAUAAGGGGUAGCAUUUAGGCAUUUAGCAAACUGAAGAUCUGGAGCUUUUGUUGUAGUUGAAAGCUAACAUAAGCUUCUAGGUCCCAAAAUCUGCUUUUGCCUACUGUUUGGUAAUUUUAGUGAAAAUGUGGUUGAAUUUUUCUGAUAACAGCUUUACAAACAGCAUUUCUGUGUAAGCUCCAGUCAGACCAAACAGCUUCUUAUAUUAUUAGCUACACUCAAUUUCUGGAAUCUCCUUGUCUCAUCUUAUUAGUGCUGUUGCUGUAGGCAUGGUUUUACUAGAAGCUCCUUUACCAUCCGAAACACAUAAUUCUUGCAAAAUUUUGUCAGUCACGCCUAUUGCUGUUCCUUGUUCUUCUACGGUUAACUUCACAGUAAAGGGCUUGAGUCUGGCACAAUCCACCUCAAGGUGUGUUUCUACUUGCAUUAUCUUCUUUUCCAUCUUACUCUUUUUCACCUUGGCUUUUUUUUUUUUCCUUCUCUUUUGUCGUUUUUAACUCACAAAAAUUUCUGUCUAACUUAGGUUACUUUGUGCAUUUGAUGGGAAGUACUUGUUCGAAGAAACAACACAAGCUUUGUGUAAUGGUACUAAUGAAUUACCAGAGUGUCUGAGCUUCUCUUGCUCCAUCCCUGAUGCAACUGGGAGAGGAUUUAUUGAGGUUUCUGCUCUAUUAUGGUUGAUAAUAAUGCCUGUUUCCACACCCUUUUAUUUCCGUCUAAUGUCUGGUUAUGCUUACAGGUUGAAGAUUAUGAUUAUAGCAGUAUCAUUUUUCCAUUUAUAGUUGCAGAAGACAACAUUUGCUCUGAGAUUCGCGCUCUAGAGAAUGAAAUCAAUGUUGCCUCAUACGAUAAACUCUUUGAAGAAGGAAUGGGAUCUAUAAAUACCCAACACGAGGCAGUAAAAUUUUUACAUGAAAUGGGUUGGCUACUUCGAAGGAGUCACAUGCAGUCUAAAUCUCAGCAAAUAGAGUUUCACACUGAGGUCUUUACUCCGACCCGGUUCAGGUGGCUUGUGUCCUUUGCCGUGAAUCGAGAAUGGUGUGCAGUUGUUAAGAAGCUUUUAGAUGUAAUGUUUCAUGGAAGCAUUGACUUAGAUGAUCAGACUCCAUCAGAGUUUGCUUUAGGAGAAGAUUUGCUUCAUACUGCUGUUAGGAAGAAGUCAAAGCCAUUGGUCGAACUUCUAUUGAGAUACAGAACAGAGGCUGCUUUAAAGGAGAAAACUCCUCCUGGCUUUUUGUUUAGACCUGAUAUGAUGGGCCCCUCAAAUAUAACACCUCUCCAUGUUGCAGCCACAAUUAGUGAGGCUGAGGGAGUAUUGGAUGCCUUGACCAAUGAUCCUCAGCAGGUAUUCCCUUUUCUAAAUUCAGUAUCUUUUACUUUUUGUACUUGAGUGCAAAGUUAGCUGUAUGCUUAGUAACACGCACAUGAUGUCAUAAUGUGUCAAAUAGGCAUUUAGAUCGAACUUUACACUGCAUUACCGGACGCAGAUUAAAAUUUUACCUAGCCAAUGCUUAGUCUUAUUCAAAUACAGCAAAAUUUCAUCAGAAGAAGAAUAUUCAAGCCUUUAGUGUAAAUUGUCUAGUGUUGAUUCUGGGGUUUUGUUCUUCGUUCGCCUUCAUUUUGAACAGGAUUCUUUUCAAACCAUGUCAUAUAAUGUCUUCUGUUGGUACUUUUUCAUAUGCCCUCCUCAGCCCUCUCUAGGUUUAUUCUACUUGAACAGUUGAAUGGAAUCAUUCUUCUUAGUGAUGCACUUUGUGAUCUUUCAUUGAGCAUAUUCAAAUAUCAGAGCAGGUAAUUUAUUUUUAGGCGAAGUUCAUGCAAUACAAGUUACAGGACUUGAAUUUUUGUCUUGGUUGACUAUCAAGAUCCUUUUCCUCAAUAAGACAUAAGGGAAUUACUCACUGGUGGAUCCACUGUUAAGUGUCCAAAAGCAGUGAUAUUAUCCUUUUGAAAGUUAUUUCUCUUAUCUGUUUCUUCAUUUCCUGUUUCCAUGUUUUUUCUUGUGAAUCCCGAAUCCCACUUGAACCCACAUAUCUACCAAAGAUAAUUGAAUUUGGCUCUUGUGCUCUUUCUUUCCGUUGUUUCUUGACUGCUGUAUUAGAUUUUCUACUGUAAUACAAUUACUUCAACUCAGAAGAUCAGAUUAGACUCUUUCUCGCCCCUAAUACCAAAUUUGGAAUCUAAGCUUUUAACUCUUACUUUGUCCACUCCAG
rnacentral:lncRNA from 1 species